rnacentral:lncRNA from 1 species
GAAAAGGUACAUGACAUGCUGCAACCACAUACAAACAUAAAGAAGCUUGAAAUCACACGAUAUAGUGGCAGAAAAUUUCCAAUAUGGUUAGGGGACCCAUCAUUCUCUAACAUGGUUGCUUUAAAAUUGAUAGGAUGUGAAAAUUGCACAUCCUUACCUGCGGUGGGGAUGUUGGUUUCCCUGAAAGAGCUUACAAUUCAACGAAUGCUUGUACUCAGAAGUAUAGGGUCUGAAAUUUGUGGAAACGAUUGCUCAACGCCUUUUCAAUCCUUAGAGACUCUUUUUUUCAGUGAUUUACCGGAAUGGGAGUUCUGGGAUACCGGCAACCAGACUGGGUAUGUUGAAAUAUUCCCUCGCCUCGUUGAACUGUCCAUUUUUGGAUGCCCCAAACUAUCUGGAAAAUUACCUGACCAUCUUCCUGCAUUAGAGACCCUUGUUGUCAGCAAUUGCGAAGAGUUGGUGGUUUCAUUCUCAAGCUUUCCUUUUGCUCUGCAAGUUGGAAAUUUAUAGAUGCAAAGGACUGGUUUGCAGCUCUCCGAUUGACUCUAAGUUGACAAAGUGUAUGGCUAUUUCAAGCUGUUCAUUAGACAUAUACGGAUGCAAAGGGAUGGUAUACAAUAGUCCACUUCUCUUUAAAUCACUGUCGACGCCUGUGACUAUUUCAAAUAUUUUAGAGUUUGGAAAAUUGUUAAAAGGAUUUCUGCCAGCAGAGUUUCUGGGGAUUAGCGAUUCUCAAGAUAUUCAGUUAUUGAGGCCGCAGUUUAAGGAUAUGCAAUUUAGGGAGGAGGCAGUACAAGGGCUAUGGAUUAUCGUGCCCCCUGAAGAGGUAUCAACUGAAGAAAAUUGCAUGAGUCUGGUUUCAUUUCCAGAGGUAAAAUUUUUCCCGAUCAAUCAGCUUGAUCUUGAAAUUGAAAAUAGUGGAGCUUUAAAAUCCUCACUUGAAGGAAUUAUGUACAACUGUGCACAACUGAAAAGUUCGAACAUUAAAGGUUGUGAUUCUCUAGAAUUCAUUGCAAGAGGCAAGCUGCCUUCGUCUUUAGAAUGGCUUCAAAUACUUGAUUGUAAGAAAUUGCGGUGUUUGAUAGUUGAUGAAGAGGAUGCUUCUGUUGCUUCUUCCUCAUUAUCUUCUUUAUCAUUGGCUCUCAAGUGGCUUUAUAUUAGCGGCUGCUCAGAGCUCACCCAUUUACCAUCAAGAACUACGUCAUUGCCGAAAGAGCUUGAAUUUCUAAACAUUAGGGAUUGUCCAAAAUUUGAGUCCAUAGCUGAGAGCUUUCAUGGUAACGGACGUCUUAAACGGAUAGUCAUCUCCGAUUGUGGAAAUCUAAAAUCCAUGCCGAAGGGCCUACAGAAUCUUAGUUGUCUUGAGUCAGUCAAAAUCGUGAGCUGUCCAAGUCUUGUUUCUUUUCCAGAAGGAGGGCUUCCCAGCACUGUUACGAUUGUUUUUAUUGACGGUUGUGAAAAGCUUAAAGCCCUACCUGAAGACAUGCACAGGUUCAGCUACCUUCAAAUUUUAAGAAUCAGGGAAUGUCCAAGUAUUGUAUCAUUUCCUGAAGCAGGUUUUCCUACCAACCUAACAUCACCUGUAAUUACUGAUAUAAAAAUGUACAAGGCAAUUAUCCAAUGGAGCUUGCACAGGCUUACAUCUCUUCUACGCCUUUACAUAAAUGAGGGUGAUAAUGCUGAGUCUUUUCCAGGUGAGAGGAUGGGAAUAAUAUUGCCCACCUCUAUAACUGCAUUGAGGAUUUCUGGAUUCCCAAAUCUGAAAUGCCUAUCUGCAAUGGGUUUUCAAAGCCUGGCCUCACUCGAAUCUCUGAGUAUAUCAAAUUGCCCGAAGCUCAAAUCCUUUCCUGAGGUGGGCCCGCCAUCCUCCCUUUUGGUACUACAAAUUCAAGAUUGUUCUUUGCUGAAAAAACAUUGCAAAAGGGAUAAAGGAAAAGACUGGUCCAAGAUUGCUCACAUCCCUUGUAUUAUGAUAGAUGGCAAAUUCAUCUUCGAUUAAGAAGAGAAAGAAUGAGCUCUGUUUAAUAUCAGAAGGAAGAAUUCAGGUAUGCCAAUUCCUAUUAUUACGAUUACUAAAAACACGUUGUUAAAUUAUAACACAAAUUUUUAUUUUCAAUUUCAAUAUCAAUCCUCUGCCUUCAACUGCAAAUGGCACUAGAAUAUUUUCAUUUUUACUUUUUCAGAUACUAUGAUGAGGCAGUUUGACUUGAUGAUGCUGACAGUUUUUUAUAGUAAUGGACAAAUGGUUGGUACGUUUUCUGUUGAUUAUUUACAGUGUAGUUCAGUUGACUUUAGUACUAUGUAUCUGAAAAUUUUCAGUGAUUUAAUACUUGUUUUCAUUUUAACUCAUCAGAUUUAAUGCGGUCCCAACAAGUUACUCACACACUGGUGCUUUUUUAAGGUAAUCAGUACAUUUUCAGCUGCGUUAACUCGAAUAACUUGUAUCUGAAAUAUUGCUGUCGUAAUUUCUUUUCAAUUUAUAGUUUAGAUCAUAGUCUGGCAUGUAGUUUCAAUGGCGAAUAUUUUUUUUUUUUACAUGUUAUUAUUUUUUCAGAGCAACUCAAUUAGACAGUUCCAAUCCAGAAAUUUUUUAAUGUAUUUUAGUGCAAUCGUAGUUGUCAAGUGAAAUUUUCAUAUUAUGAUGAUCUCGAUGCUAACUACAUUUCCAACUCUUUUAAGUUUUUUGAACUCUAGCGGGUGAAAGUCAAUGGAAAGAAGUUUCUGAACUUUUCCAAUGAUCAAUGCAAUUUGCUUCUAAGGAUAUAACACGGGUCUUCACUUAUUUCAAGUUGCAGAUAUGAUUCUAUCUUUCUUCUGCUGUAAUUUCAGAGGGCAAGGUUGCUCAUAUUCCUUGAGUUGACGUGGAAGAAAGCAUAAGGAAAGCUCUGAGACAAUCCACAUCAAAAUCUUCACCCACUUUUUCACAGUUUGGAAUCGACUACACUGCCUUCAAAAUGACUUUCAAAUGAAAGGGCAGAAAGUUAAUCAUACAGGGUUCCAAAGUCGGUUAAAAGUUAGUUUUAAAGCUUCUGAUUUUUUUCUGAAUAGGCUGACUAGUUAAUAAGCCAAUAAAAUGUGCCAAGAAAUAUCCCUCUGUGGUGGAUCAUCACUUUGCUUGAUUCUUGCUUUGAUUUAGUCUCAGUAAUCUUGUAAUUGCCAUUAUUAAGCUAGUGAAUAUAGAACAAUGGCUGCUUUUGCACCCAUGGAUGUAGGUCAAUUUGACCGAACCAUGUAAAUCUGUGUCUUUGCUCUUUGUGCCUCUCAUUUAAUUUGUGUUUGCUGAGAUUGAUUGCUUUUGUGCAGUUUAAUUCUUGGUAAAAGCUCAGCUUAAUAAUCUCUAUAGAUUGGAUCGAUCUCAAUUCAUUGGGAUUGAGUUUUAGUCAUUUCUGGGGCGAGAGAAAUUGACUCGCACAUGUAUCAUGGCAACGUUUGUUUUAUUUGGAUAUUAUUUGUUUUUAUACAGGCUUUUAGUUUAUUUCAGGUUGUCUGAGUAAAAUUUUAUCACACAUGCGAUUACUUGGAAAAUUCUAACGCCAGUGUAUGUUAAAAAUGAAAUUGGGUCAUGUAGGUACCCUCUGUCAAGAUCAAGUGCUAGCUGGACAACCACUUUGAAAACUAGUCUCCUUCUCCUGCUGUAAGUUUCAUUUCCUUUUAGAUUUUACCGCAUGAGUUCAGCUUAAUUUCUUCAAAUCACUCCGAUUUAAGACCAAAUAGACUCUGGAAUAAUGGCUUAAGUAAUAUAUAAUAGAGAUGAUUAGGGGAUGGGCAAGGAUACUUGGUAAUAUGAAGGGACAAUUUGGAUGUGUUCGCAAAAAUGAAAACACAGUAUCCCCUGUAAUAUUGGAUGCGAUUGAUGACUGAAUGGUCAAUCUAACCUUUUUUUCCAUAACAUUUUAAAGCACCCAACUACUUUCAGAUCCAUCUGCCAUCUAUAUUGAGUAUAUUCUAAUUAUAAAUCUAUCGUUGUUUGUCCUUAGAAAGCAAAAUACAUACAAAACUGUAUUUAAUACUCUAUUUCAAAAGCCACCACCAAAAAAAAAAAAAAUUAAAUAAAUAAAUAAAUAAAUAAAAUCAAAAUGUAUUUAUUAAAUUAAAUAAUUUGCAAAAACUACGAAUCUCAAAAGUCUGUCUACUUAUAGACUAAAGUUAUUUAUUAAUCAUGGUUAAUAUGAGAUGUGUGUAACACAAAACAAUUUUUAGCUUUACCGUUAAGCCAUAAUAUCGUUUUUUUUUUUAUAAGCAUUAAUUAAUCUAAUUUCUCCUUAACUAAUGAUUGUAUUAUGCGUAUGGUGUUACUCUCAUCAUCAUUUAACUUUUCAACCAGGUGGUUGUGGUUGGAGAUUAAUUAAUGCUUCAACAUAUUACAAUUCAGAGAGAAUGACAAUUCCAUCCCUCUUUAUUUUUAUUUUUAUUUUUAUUUUUUGGGGCAUCACUUAGGUUUCUUGUAGACUUUUAGUACCUCAUUUUAUCAUUGACUAAAAAAUGUUAAGUAAAAAAGUACGCGGUUGGAGGUAAAAAAUACAGUUGGUUUAUUGAUAUACAAACUAAUAUUACAUAAAAUCUGACAUAAAAACAUAUUAAAACUAGACCAAUUAAUGAGGUCAUUUUAUGCCGACGCGUACGUGACGCAAUCGUGCAAAUACGAAAAAAAUGUACUGAAUAUUGAUGAGCCAUGGUCCAAAACAAUAACUGGACCAGUUGAUGAGGCUGGCUUAUUAUCUACAAACAAGGUAGUCAAUCUAGGCUUCAGCAGUUAGUAUCCCAAUCCAAAUCAAGUGCGCAGCCCUAAAACAAAGAGUGGACUUUCUAACACCCCGUGAAAAUUCUUACGAAACCCUCUUUUUUUUAAUUAUUAUUAUUUUUUAUAUAUUAAAUCAUUUGGUAUUUAAAAAUUGCAUUAGGUCUCGACUGAUCCAAAUUCGAGCCAGAUAUGACUACUAAGUCAGUAAAACUCUUCCAAUAAAUAUUUAAUACAGCUGCAUCCUAAGUUUCGAACCGAGAACCUUUAUUAAGUUAAAAUAGUCCUUCCCAAUUGAUUUACGCGCUUGUUGAUUUUUUUCAAUUAUUAUUAUUCUUAUUUUAAUACCAAAAAUAUCCUUUUCCUGCUAAAUUCCUAUUACAUUUUUUUUUAGUUUAUUCCAAUUUAACUAUUUUAAAUGAGACCGAGACGAUGAGUUUGCAAAACUAUGUAAAGUUAGGUGGAGCUGCUUGAUGGUUCCUCCAAUCACGAUCAUGAUGGUAAAUGUUGAACUUGGAAAAACAUAAGCCGCUAAACUCAAUAAGUAUUUGCAAAAGAUAGUACAUCAGGUAGUUUUAAAGAAAUUUUUUUUUUCUUCAGUUUUCUCACCCGUAAAACAAAUCAAUGUCUUAUUUUUGGUCUUUUGGAUAGAUGAGUCACAAACAAAAACAAAAAGGAAAAGGGCAAAAAACAGGACUUCUUGAUUUUUCAAAUUUCGGGGAGCGAGAGAGAAGCGGUCGAAGAGUUCGCAGAGAAAAUAAAAAUAUCCUGCGUGUGUUAUAAUUAAAAAUAGCGGGCUGCUAAUAGCUGUACUGGAAGGCAAAAAUAUCGUCGCUCAAGCCCAUUCAAAUUCGGCCUAUGUCUAAAGAAUGAGAGAAGACUUUACUUCUCAAGCUGACUUGGGGGUACCGGGCCAGGCUGGUUUCGUUUGCUUUUUAUUUUCCCUCACUAAUACAAUUUACCAAUUCAAAAAUAUAUGCGCAAAGUUUUCACUGCGUGUUUUCAUUUGUCGAAAUUAUGGUUGUUGAUUUACUUCUAAAUAUGUAACGCAUUACGAGCGUAAACUAUCGAAAUCGUACCAUUAUUAUAAAUCUGUUCUAAUCUAUGAGGCUUUUAAUUGAAAAUAUAAUAGAUUAUAUUGUAAUUCAAAAUAAAAAUGUAUAAAUGUCAAAUAAUAAGUUAACAUACGAGUGCAGUCUCACACAAAUUUUGUCGGUGAACGCAUUGCCAACUUGGAAAAUCUACUCAACUAACACUUCCUUCUCUUUACUGUUGCAUUGACUUUAGAAAGUUAAUUUUAGGAGUCUUGUUACAAUGCACCAGCUGCACCAUCUAACAAGUUUUACAUUGUCCUUAACAAAGUAUUCAUUCAUAAUCGCUGAUUCGCUAUAUUAUUUUUAUACAUAACAUGUUUUUGUAAUACAUAUAGUAAAUUAUUUAUACAACGAAAAAGUUAUUAUCAAUUAAAAAAAAAAAUUGUGGAUGUACGGCGCAACAUGCUGCACCAUAAUCACACCCUAAAUUAUUAAAAUAAUAAAUAAAUUAAAAGAUAAAUAAAACGUACAUUUUAAAUAAUAUAUUUUAUUUUUAAUAUAUUAAAAUAUAUAUUUUAUAUACCUUUUAACUUAUUUCUUAUUUUAAUAAUUUAAAGAAUCUUUCAUUCAAAAUUUAUUCUCUACAUAUAUUAAGUUGGCCCAUUUUGAUGACAUAAUAUUUACAUGCAUGAACUUGAUCUUACAUGCAUGAACUUGAUCACUAACACAUAUAUUACAUGAGUCGCACCUGAUGAAAAUUCCGUAUGAAAUAUAUUCAAGUGAUCCAGAUCGAUAGAUAAAUUAAUUGUACCAUGUUACAGUUACAAUUGGAAAAUAAUAGAUGGUACAUCUUCCUUUUAUGUGGCAAAAUAAUAUAUAUAGUACAUUUUUCCUUUUACGUGGCCCUCAUGACGUCAAGGUAUAAAUCAUCAUAUCACAGUGAUUUAAUGUGGACAUCUAAUGGACCGCCAAUAUUCAACAUCUGAAAGUUAAAUCAAUUUUUGUCUUUUAACAAUUGUUUAUCAACAAUUUAUGGUCCUAAUUUUAACAUAAUGUGAACGUUCAAAGAAGACAAAAUACUUGAGAAUUUAGCAACCUAUUCUUCCACGUGAGGAGUCAAGUUCCCCCUCCAUUGCCUUUGCAUUUAUUUUUCAGUAAUAUCACUUUUUACGUUAUAUAUGAAAUUUUUAAAAGUAGAUUUAGUAUUCAGAUUGUGUAUAGGUAUCUAGAGUGCCAACGAACUAUAUAAGCUCGGGAUAAAGGAACUUUUUUUAUUCUAAGCUCUCUAGCUUUUAACGGUCUUAUUCUACAUUUUAAUCGUAUAAUAAUAUUGUAUAAUUGAGAUUUAACUGUUAUUAUUAUAUUUUAACUUACUAACCACGAAUUAUUUACGUAAAAGUUACUAAAAAAGAACUCAUAUUAGGAGGGAAUAUGGUCAGUAAGUAACCAAAGUAUGCCACAACAAAAAAUGAUUUAGAUAUGCUAACGGUAAAUCUUAACUAGUGCUUGUACUACUUAUACAUGUAGGUUUGUACUACCAAUGGUGAAGCCAGAAGCGUCCAGUUUGAGCAAGUAUUACCUUAUUAAGUUAAUUUUUCCCAAAAAUUCAAUCCAGAAAGUAUGAGAAAUGACAAGCACCAUGGUUCAAUUUUCCCCUCAAAAAGAAACAAGCAAGAAAAGAAAAAGCACACACGCUAUACUUUUGAUGGAAGUUAUGAAAUGCACUUUUAGUUCAACUUCCUCGGUGCUUUAAAGCUCUUUGGGAGCUGCUGUUGAAGUGUACUCGGCAAAGGUUAGCCUGGGUCCAUUUGUUCUCAUUUGCAGGUCAGAUCUAAAAUUGGGUCAGCAAGAUAAUUGCAUAAUUGAACCCAAUGCAACCACCAUAAUUGUUUUAGAAAGACUGAUAUGCGUUUGUAAUUGGUUUUGGUAUAUCACCUUUGUUUGUAUUUCACCAUCAAUGAGACAGCUUUUUUUUUUAAGUAUAGUGAAUGAACAGAGAAAUUUGUCGGCAAGCUUAUCCCAACUCCUUGAUUGCUAGUUUAAGUGUCUAUUCACAUCAACGAGCCAAGUUGAUUCAUCUCAUUACCGGUAUUUAAGGUCAAUUUUUUUAACUUAAAUCUAAUAUGUUAUUAUACAACUUAAACGAUAAUUCCAAGUUUUUUUAAACUUUUUACUUUUGUAUGAUCAAAUAAAAAUCAGUUAGGUUGCAGUAGCCGACACAAGAUAACUAAAAACCGAACAAAUUCCAUGAAAAGUUCAUAAAAAAGUCUUUAAAAAUAAUUGCUUUGUACUAUGAAAAUAAAAAAAGAAAAGUGCUUCCCGCACAUUUUGAUGUGCUAUGAAAUAUCACAUAUACUUAAUUUUUUGUCUCAACUAGGGUUGGUAAUUUAUCGGGUCAGGCCGAGCCUGAACCCGACCCUAUAACACAACUAAAGGGCCCUAACCCUACAAAAAAAAAUCUUAUUGUUUCACUUUCGGGUCGGGUCAGGGUCUGGCAUGACCCGUCGGACUCUAAAAAAGUCCGAACCCUACUAAUUUUUAAAUAACCAACUUUGAUAUCGUAAAUUUAGAUUUAUAUAAACAAAUGCAAAUGUACAACCUAUCUUAUUCUAACUAUUAAAAGUAAUGCUUUCCAUGAUUUUCAUAAGCAAUAAGAAAUUUGUAGUGUUUUGAUUGCCUCAAAAAAUCCCAACUAAUCAAACACUGCCCAAGAUCUUUGUCAAGAUAAAUUCAAGUUGCAUAUGAAUCAAAUGACCAACCUUGAUGACUCAAUGAUUAACAAGAACCUAGUAAACGAAUUUUAGAGACCAGAAACACAAGUAUCAAGCUAAAUUAGCAACCAAAACACACAGAAAAGAAUACUGAUUUUACGUGGUUCAAUUGUGCAAAGAAGCACAAUCUACCAGAAUGAGUUUUUACUGAUGAUUCAAGUUUAAUUUAUAAAGCUUUUACAGAAUAGAUGACAAGGAACGGGAUGUCUCUCUCUCUCUUUCUCGUAUAUCUCUCUAGAACGCUCUUAAUUCCUCACUGAAACUGCCUCAACAAUCAGCUUUGUAUAACAGCCGAUAACAAACCGGAUUGCACCAGUUUCUGCCACGUGGAUAACGGCCUGCAACAAUCUUGAUUCCCCCUCACAUGCUUAAUCACGUGCAUGACUUAAGUCUGAGCCAAAACGUCUUCAUGUCUUGCCGGUUAUUAGGUGAGUCACACGUCCAUCACGUGACAGCUUGAAACAAAUUGAUAGGCAAAACGAUGCCGUUUCACAUGUCCAAGUUUUAAAUUCAGCAAAUUAGUCCACAAAAUUAAAGUUAUUUAUUUUAUUUUUAUCCAAGGACAACUCUUUGCUCAAACCAAAAACUCUUGAUCUUGAACAUCUUUAUAAUCACAGAGAGCCCCCUGAAGCUUGGCUGCUCAUCAGCCUCGCUUGGAUUCAACCACUCGAGAGGACACCAACAUCAGUUUUUGCAUCUGAUGCUCUGCCAAUAUUUCCCUCGUCAAUCCCUCCGCAUUGCAAGCAUAAAACAUUAAAGAAAACACUGAUAAUAAAAAAUUAAGUGACAAUUCAAAAUGUUAUACAGUUCAUGUUAAUUAUUAAACUCUAACAAGACAAGAAAGAAAUUAAGAACAUUAAUUGUGAAAAAAAGUGAAAUAUUGAUUCAAAAUUAUAGAUCUUAAUGUAUGAAGCUAUAAAGGAAACGCCCAGAGGAUCUGUUUUGUGAUGAAAAUUUAAAAUUUAUGUUUUAAAUUAAUAAUAAUAUUUUGAAAAUUUGCACAUGUAAAAAAAUAUAGAAAUGUGUGAAUAUGUUUUCAUUUAGGUGGUAAUUUUGCUCGCCUAAUCAUAAUUCUUUUUGAUGUUGUAUGAAAAUAAAAAUAAUUGAAUAUUAUUUAGAGAUAUAUACUAAUUAAUUUAUUUAAAAAAGUUUACAAUCUAUAUACACUAUAUACAAAUUAUGAUCUAUAAUUUAAUGAGAUUCUGUAUAAUUGCACUUUAAAUUUAUAGUACAAUCCAGAAGUUUUUCAAAAAUUAACUUGGAAAUCUACUCUCAUAAAUAUACAAAAAGAUAUGUACGGUAUUUUAAAUUAAAAAUAUAAUAUUAUAAUUCAUUAUUAAUUUGGUUUGUAUUAAUGGGAAUCUUCCUUGCAUUCUUCUUUUAGUUGUGCCAAGGAUAUCCUUGAAAAGGAAAUGCUUCCUCAUGUUCCUAUGACUGAAUUCUCUAGAACUAAGAAAGCUUAUUAUUUUGGGUAACUAUAAUCUUCUAUAUAUUAUCAUUGUCAUUACUUUAGAGUAGUUACAGAUCUUAUUGAUCCUUUCUUCAGCUAUAUUAUACAUCAGCUUCUUCUUUGUGCAUUUGGCCGGUGGGUUAAAGAUGAUAGAUAUCAUUAUGGCAACAAGAGGUUGGACCUUGCUGGUUCAUUACUUAGAAGGCUUGUUUAGGAUGGUUUGUUUCAUUUUUGUGUUGAGGUAGUUGACUUUACUUGUGAUCAUACGAAUGAAGAUGUAUCUCUUUUCUUUUAACACCCCACUUUUAUAACUAAAAUAAGAUGAUUUAUUUUAAAAUAUUUAAAAUCUCAAUAUUUUUUUAAUAUAAAUACGGAUAAUUAAAACUUUUACAUGAUAAGCAGAAACUUCAUUACAAAAUAUAAGAGACAUAGAAAUUCCUUAGUAUAUAUUUCAAAACUUCGUUAUUAUGUAAGAGAAUUUAAGAUAUUUAUUUUUUAUAACAACACGACUAAGCCCAUCACAGUCCAACGGUUUGACAUGCCCAUAUGCAUUUCAUCUUGGUUGGGACUUGGCGUCAGCUUGAUCUACUCAUUAUUACCUACAAUGUAAGGAUUGCAUGAGCCAAAACCUAGUAAGAUAACAUGCAAGUAUAAAUUGUUAUGCACAUGGAUGAGCUUAUGAACAAUAAAUCUCUAAAAGAAACAUAGAAAUAUAAAACAACUUUGUUAGGGCCCUACGUACAUUGCACGACAAGGUUGGCAAUUUUCAUUCUUUAAAAUAGCAUCCCCUUAGGCCUAAAUUAAUAAUUGAUCUUUGGGCAUUGCAUAUCGCCGUCCCCAAAAGAUUACUCUUUAUUUAGCUUUGAGGGCUUGCCCUUCUUGGAAAUUUUACCACCCCAGUAGUACAACAAUCCAUUGUUCAAGACUCAUUUUUAAAAAUGUCUUCUUUGUAAAGUAAUCUUAACAUAUUAACAUGAAAUGCAUGUGUUCAAUGCAACCUAUAUCAUGACAUGUAAUGUUCCUAGAUAUAUAACAAAGCCAACCAUACAAAGUUUUCUGAAGACAACAAUCUUUAGUAUAGGCAGCAGUGCCGUCCAUAUAAAGAUUAAAUAAAAAAUGUUAUUAUAAUAUAGAUGGGAGAGUGGACUAGGGAUGGCAAAAUAACCUAGACCCAGCCCGGACCCGGAUGAACUCGGAUUAUCCGGUGCGGGUUGAACCCAGUCCGGAGAUAAAAAUAAUGCGGAUCCGGAAUUCAUUUUAUAAACCCGGACAUAUCCGGGUCCGGAUCCGGGUUUACGUAAACCCGGAUCUCCGAAACUCGGACCCGGAUAUCUUUAUUUUAAAAUUUAUUAAAUAAUUAAUUUUAAGUUAUUAAAUCUAAGUAUAAAAACAAAAAAAAAAAAAAAAAAAAGAAACCAUAAAACAAACUGUAGCCGUAGCUGAUAACUCUAUGAAAUGAGAGUUAUCAUGGCCCUUUUAGGCUUAAAUCAAUACUACUUAGAGAGUAAAUUAUGUGUUUCUAUUACAUUUUUGUUACAUUUUGCAUAAAAAAUCAUUUUAGUCAGUCUUAAUAAGUUUUGGUCGAUUUAAAGUAAUUUAUGCUCAAAUUGUGUGCAUAAUUGUAGGUUUCUAGAAGCUUAUAAUUCAUGGAAGGAAUGCUAUGCAAUAGGCUUGCAAAAAAAAAGGAAAGAACAUGGCUACAAAAGAGUUGAAAUAAAUCUGGAACAGUGCAGUUGCUGUAGAUAUUGCUGUAGCAACCAUUGCUGUAGCCGUUGCUGUAGCAAUCCUGGAACAACGAUAGAGAAAAUUCUGUGUGGGAUACUUGCAGAAUUACGAUCUGCAGUUUCUUAAUCUGACUUAUGCGUGCCUUAGGGUUCCGUUUACCCCAAUUUUCAACUAUAAAAGAAGCACACAUCAUAAGGAAAAAGGAGAGCCGUCACCCAAGGAGAAAAACACAAAGAAACAAAAGAAAAACAAGAUUCAAGAGAGAGAUUAAGGGCUGCACAAGAGGAGAAUUUACAGAAAUCAAUUGGGAGCUCAAUCCUUCUUAUUCUUAUCUUGUUUUCUCGUUUUCUAUUUAUUUAUGGGGAUGUGUUUCAUGGCUGAAACUUUGUUCUUUAUUUUUCUUUUACAAACCAUGAACUAAAUUUAUUUGUGGUUGAGUGAUAUAUGUGUUGCUGCAUGUUUGUUGUAGCAGUUUGUUUUGAUAGUAUUUUCUUUUAUUCAUUAUUUCGGUUGAUCACCCAUUUAAUGAUACAAGUUAGGAGAGAGCCGCAAAAUGGCCUAUCUUAGUGGAACAUAUCAGAAUGAUCUUAAAUUGAGUUUCCCGGAUUGAGUCUUACUUGAGUUCCAAAAGGGUCAUGCUUGAUUUAAGAUUAGUGAUGAACUAGACAUAAGGAUUCACCUUGUAGGGACAAUAGAACCUAAGCGUGUAAUGUUAUAUCUUAUGUUGGCAUAGCAACUGAUCACUGUUAGGUUGCAUAUAGAUAUAAGAUAUCCAACAUGCGACGGCUGAGGAUACAUAAGGAUUAUACCCAGUGCUGUAGCAAUUACUACAGCAACCGAGCCAACUAUUAGAAAAUAGUCAAGACUAUUAGGAGAGUUUAUUCACUCAACUACUCAAUAUUCCUAUUAGUUUUAUCCUUGAGAUUGACGUGAUAAUUUAUUUUGUUGCAUUUUAUUUACUGUGUUUUUAUUUUAAUUAGUAAAUUAGUUUCAUCAAUUGUUUAUCUUAAUUUAGACACAAAAUCUGCACUGUUAAGAUUGCUGUAGCAAGUCUAAUAACAUCAAUCCAUGUGAAGACGAUCUUAAAUACUCAUCACUUUAUUACUUGUUGUGUACACUUGCACAUUGACACCAAUAGCAUUGAUAUUUAUACACCAACAAUAGUAGCCCUGUUUCUCCUCUUCUCUCACCUUCUUCAAUCUUCACGCCACAAAGCCCAAAUUCAUCAUCGUCAAUUUGUCAUCAUCCUUGUCAAUAUUCAAGUAAUUCCCAAGCAUCAUCAUCAACAGCUCAUCAUCAUCCUCAAUAUUCAAUUCAUCCCGUCGUCGUUCUUCUUCAUCAAUUUGUCGCAUUGCCAUCCAUGAUUCACCAUCGUCUUCAUCGCGUCACCAUUCAUCUUGAUUACAUCAUCAACAUACAUGCUUCUUGGGAAUUAAUAGUGCUCUGAGGUGAUAUUAACAUAUGUGGGUCAGCUUUUAUCUCUAAAUCAUGAUUCAUUUCAAUUCAUUUAUAUUCAAGUUGUCUCGAUUGUAAAGAAUCUAUAAUCCUUUAAUCCAUUGGUGCUUGCGAUUUGAACUCUUUCUGGAAUUUUUCAUAACCUGAAACAAGUUUAUGUUUUUCAGUUCAUUCAGUUAUCCGGGUUUUAAACCCGACAUCCGGAAACCCGGAUUUCUCCGAGUUGAACCCGCACCGGACCCGGAGCCAAAAAAUCUGGGUUUAUAUCCGGAUCCGAAAUGCAAAAUUGUCAUCCGGGUCCGAAAUCGGGAAGGCUAAACCCAGACCUGGACUCGGAUUUUGCCAUCCCUAGAGUGGACCAUAUCAUAAUUAAAUAAAAAUAUCAUAGUAUAGGCGGCAUAGCCAACCAUAUAAAAAUUAAAUGAGAAAAUAUGAAAAUAUAGGCGGCAUAGCUGACCAUAUAAGGAUUAAAUAAGAAAAUAUCAAAUAUAGGUGGCAUAGCCAACCAUAUAAAGAUUAAACAAUAAAUAAUCACAUCAUAGUAGUCAUCAUAAGAUAAAAAAAUAAUUAAAGAUGAAUUUAAGUAUGGAAAGAACAUUAUUCGUAAACUACAGUUGAAGUGUUACUUAUCUCUUAAUCUUGACUUCUCUAGGCCCUCAUAAUUUGAGGAUUUCUCUAUUAUUUGAUGUUAUUACUUAGAAUAGAAGAGGACAGAAUUUCUAAAGUGAUAUAGAAAAUGAAAGGGCUAGGGGUACUUAUAGGAUUUUCUAAAGCUAAUGGAUGGUUAGGAUUUUACCACUAUAACUUUUGAUUAAUGGUUGAGAUUUAUCCUUGCAUAAAUAUCUCUGUAAAUUCUAGAAUUUAUUAAUAUUUUAUAGAUAUCUUGUUGCAUAAUUACUUAUGUCAUCGCUUAUGUCAUCAUUACUCUAGAAUUUUCUAUCAUAAAUAUUUUCUAUUAUUAUUAUUUUAAUAGGUAAGGGGACUUAUUAGCCUAAAAAUUAAUUCUACUAUAUUCAAAUGAGAAAUUUAUAUCUCACAAUUUCCUUCCCAUUACGAAAAUUUUAUGCUCGAAAUUGAUUUAUUGAAUAGCUCAGGAUACUUAUUCUUCAUAUUUUCUUCACGUUCCCAUGUUGCCUCCCCUAUCGAGCUAUUUCGUCAUAGUAUUUUAACUAGAAAAAUCUUCUUGCUUUUUAUCUCCUUUAUCUUUCUAUCAAAUACUUGGAUUGGACGUUCUCCAUAGGUUAAGUUUUCUCCUAGUUGAAAAGCCUUAUAAUCUAGCACAUGAGAGGGGGUCUGUAACAUAUUUCUUUAACAUGAAGAUAUGAAAAGAAAUUGUGUAUCCUUGACAAUGGUAGAAGAGCAAGUCGGUACGAAAUGUUCUUGACAUAUUCAAGUAUUUCAAAUGGUCCAAUAAACCUCGAAAUUAAAUUUCCUUUUACAAAUACCUUAUCACCAACUUGAAAUUCUGAAGGCCUUAAGCUCUUAUCUACAUGACUUUUCUGUUAACUUUGAGCUGCCUAUAUUCUUGGACGUAUUUUCUCGAUCGCCUUAGAUGAGACAACAAUGAGGCUGGGCCCAAGCUACCUUUGCUCGCCCAUUUCAUUCCAAUGAAUAGGUGACCUACAUUUUUUACCAUAUAGAGUUUCGUAGAGUGCCAUGCCGAUUAUUGCUUGAUAGCUAUUAUUGUAGGCAAAUGAAGCCAAAGGUAGAUAUUUGCUCUAUGAUAUUUGAAAGUCGAUAGUGCAUCCCCGUAAUAUAUCUUUUAGUGUCUAGAUCGUUGUUUCUAACAGACCAUUUGUUUGAGGGUAAAAUGUUGUACUAAAUUUUAAUUUUGUUCUCAUAGCUCUAUGUAACUUUUCCUAAAAUGUUGAGGUGAACCUUGUAUCUCGAUCAAAGAUAAUAGAAAUAGGUACACCAUAUAGUCUUACUAUCUCCUUUAUGUAUAUUUCUGCAAAUUGGUUUAUAGUGCACGUCAUUCAAAUAGGUAAAAAGUGAGCAGACUUUAUGAGUCAAUUGACGAUCAGCCAAAUGGCAUCAUGCAUUUCUUUUUCAAUUUUUUCAUUACUAUUGGUAUUUAUGCAAUUUUUUAGAAAGUUAAACUGCAAUGUGAGAGCUUAUGUGAAGAAGGUUCUAAGUAUUUGUUGCUUUCUUUCUUUUUUCCUUUUUGUUUGAUUUUGAAUCAUUUUUUUCAUUUCUUCUGGUUUGCACUCAUGCAGUUCAUCCAUUUUGUAAAUGUUGGAUAAGGAUCUAUAUGUUAAUUUGCAAUAUGCUAUUUUAGCUAAAACAAUUACCCAUGGUAUAAAGUAUUCUUUGGCUACCGGUAAUUAGGGCCAGUUAGAUGCGUUUAUUACAAGAACAAAAGUGUCAAAGAUUUUUUAUUUUUGAUCCAUUUGAAUACAUGAUAGUUUUUUUUGCUCACUCAAUUUCUACUUUGUAGCAUUCCUUGUAGUAUACCUUUUGAUUACAUUGAUCUUGUGGUCUUUCACAAAUGUUGAAUUACAGACAUGCGCCUCUACCUUGUCGCAUUUGCGAACACUGUGUUCUCCCAUAGGGCAAAAAGGUAAACUACUUAUUGUUGUGCAUGAUUUUGUUUUAUUGAGGGUUCAUUCAUGCUUAGUUUUGUUUUUCUUUUAUGCAUCACCAUGUUGUUAUUUUGUUAAUUUGUUGCAUAUAAUUAAUUGUUUUCACUUUAUUUUUCUAAAGAAGUUUUCAUUUACUAGGUACACAAGUAAAACCUAAGCUAGCACAUAAUACACAAUGGGGUAAGAUUUAUUCCUUUCCAACACUUUUAGGACAAGUAAGUUAAAAUUGUGCUUAUAGGAUAUAUCUAUAAUAUCUUUUUCUGAUUGUAGCUUACAAGAAUUUGUUUUGGUUAAUCCAGGCCUGUGGACUAGUGAAGAAUCUUGCUUUGAUAGUCAAUGUAACCCUCGGCUCAUUAGUAUUUCCCAUUAAUGAGUUAUUAGAAUAUGAGCCAAUAGUAGAAGCCAAGGUGCAUUUUGUAAUUUAUGGCACUUAGACGUUAAUUAUACAUAUUUCAUUCACAUUAUUUCAAUUUUCUCUUAAUUGUAGGAUGCUACUGCAAACUUUUUUCUACAAGCUACAAAAAUUUUUGUCAAUGGUUGCUGGGUGUCAUGCAUGAUGUUGGUUCAUUGGUCCAAGCUUUGAGACACUUGAAAAGAAAUGUCAUUAUACUUGUAUUUCAUCUAUUCGUAAAGAAACCUCUGUAUUAAAAGUUGGCAAACCUAUUGGUGUACUCUAAACUUUCUUUAGUAUUAUUUAUGCCAUUUCUGAACUAUUUUGUUUGUCUACCCAUGUACAAGACUUUAUAAAUGCUGCAAUUGGGGUUUCUAGGGAUAUCCAUUCAAAAGAAUUGUGUAUAUACACUGAUUUUGGUCGUUGUUGUCGUCCAUUGCUUAUUGUCCAGAAUCAAAGGCUUCUUAAAAAGAAGAAAGAUAUUGACGCCUUCUAUGACAAGGUUAGCCAAAUAGUUCUCUCUCUCUUUUUUAUUAAUGAUUUGUCUUUUCUGUAGUUACAUGACUUUUAUCUUGUUAAUCUUCUAGAAAUCUUCCGAAGAUGGUUGUUGGUGUGAUCUUUCUAAAAAAAGGGUUUAUAGAAUAUAUUGAUCCAUAAGAAGAAGAAACCAUAAUGAUUUGCAUGACAAUCAAUGUGAAUAAAAUGGUAUUGGUUGGUCGAAAACCUGUUAUCGUGAGACGUAAUUUUUAACUUGCUAAAAAUUUGAUUAACACAAAUUUGUUUCAGGAACUUGUAAAUGCAAAGCUUCGUCCAGAGGAGGCUACUUCUAAUGCAUACACGCAUUAUAAGAUUCAUCCAUCCUUGAUAUUGGGAGCUUAUGCUUCAAUUAUACCAUUUCCCGACCAUAAUCAGGUGCGUCAUGCUUAUGACAUUUCUAUGGUAAAAUAUGUUUAUAUAUUGACUCAAUCUCACCAAUUUUUUUUUUCUUUUUCUUGAUGGGGUUUGCUUUUAGUCCCCAUGUAAUACGUUUCAAGCUGUAAUGAGCAAGUAAGCAAUUGGAAUCUAUGCUACAAACUACCGAUGACAUAUGAUACUGUAUUUGGUUUCAAUUUUUUUGUGAUUGGAAGCUCAUAUUCAGCAUGUCAUAUAUAAUGAUAUUAUUUUUCCUUUAUAUGAAUUAGGAUGCUUUAGCCUAUGUUCUUUACUACCCUUAGAAACCACUACUUGCUGGGAAGCCAUAAAAUCGCUUCAAGUUAACCAACUUCCUACUGGUGUGGUGAGUAUAUAAUUUAAUGCUGCGUUAUUGUUGCUCCUUAUGAUCAUAGUUUUCUUAUAAUCUUUUUGUCUCUGUUAUUUGGUAUUAGAAUGCAAUAGUCACUAUUGCCUGUUAUGAUGGCUAUCAUCAAGGAAGUUUUGUUGUUAUGAACCAGUCAUCUAUGGAUUAAGGAUUAUUUCGAUCUCUUUUCCUUCCAUACAUCUAGGUAAGCUGUUGUUGAGUCAUUUUGUAUCUUAAUUAACACGACUCAAAAGUAUUGAUUACUUCCGAGUAUAAGAGUGUCUAAUUAUAAUAUAAUCCAGUGAGUUGGGGUUGAUCCACAAGGAAUCUAUAAAUCUAGUAGUCAUUAUUAAAAGGGAUAUUAUCAUUUUACUAUUAAAGUUAUUCUGACAUAUCAUGUCAAUACCAUGAUUUGCCGAAAAGUGCAUUUUACUACCAAACGUUUGUGCCGUUAUCAAUUCACUACUAUUCCCUUAAGAAUUUUAUGCAGUGUCCGUUGGGCCAGAGGUUUCAGCUGCGAUCCAAGAGAUUCUAAACUCUAAUUUGAUGUCGUCUGACUUCUUUUGCUCAUGGAUUUUAGAUAAAACUUCUGCGCUAAGUCUUGUUCAAAGUAUAAGUAUAGAAUUGAACUUGAUUCUGACUGAUUCCAUUGUUAAAAUGCAUGAGUUGUGUGGCUACUGGCUACUCUCCACUGAUGGUUUGCUGUCAUUGUACUUGUGCGUCAAAGAAGGCUUUCUUAAUAUUGUUGAGGAAAAUGUUGUCAGGUAAGGCUAAUCUGUUCACAUCUUGAAAUAAUUAUUUGAUGGUGAAUAUUUGUUAAAGUUAUCUAUUUUCUUUAUUUCUUAUGAUGAAGUAGAUUUGAUGUUGAGAAGAAAAAUAUUAGUGUUCAAUUGUGUGUUGAGUGAGUGGUUUAAAUGAGUAUUAAGAGUAAUUAAAAUUAUAUAGUAAUGUUAAAUUGUUCAUGAUAUUAGUUUAACGAAAGACUUCUUAAUUUUUUUAAUAAAAUUAAUAUAGUGUUCAAAGUGUAUUUUAUCAAUAAUGUUGACAUUCCUACAUUUGAGUCUUAAUUUUAUGUGUCAUUUGUUCAUUAGAUAAUAUAUUUUAUAAUUUAUAAAAUUAUUAUUUUAUUAUACAAUAAAUAAAUGACUCAUCAAUUAGGACUAAAUUGAAACAUAAAUGUUGAAUAUUACGUUUUGUUAAUGUUAAAGUGUAAUGGUCAUGUUAUGUAGCAAAAAUUCAUGUAUUUAUUUUUUAUUUAUUUUAUAAAAAUUCAGUUUUUCAUAUACAUAGAAGUUAGUAAAUUGAAAUUGUUUCUAUUAAACUGUUGAAGUGCAGGUGUGCAUUUGCUAUAUAUAUUAUUUUUCAGAAUCUUUUACUUUAAAAAAAAAAAAAAAAAAAAAAAGACUCGUACUUGAUAGGUAAUUAACUAGGAAAAAUAAAUAAAGAAGAAAGGUGGCAACUUAAGUUUAAUUUCAUUAAAAAUUAUGGGUAAAAUAUAUAAUUAAAUAUUUUGUUGAUAAUGAGACAAAAAGUUAUUUUAUGUGAUUUGAAGAAACAAAAGAGUAAUGGACACAUGUCUAAUGUACAAAGAGUAGGCGAGUAAGUCGCACUGACCGUAACACUAUUUAUAUAUACUGUUGUGGACCCGCCUGAGUUACAGUUCACGUAACACUACUCGACUUUUCUGGCUUCUUAAUGUAAACUAUCGUUGACCUCCUUAUACUUUAUAUUAUUAACAGUUUAUUCAUAAGUAUAUAAACUUUUCUGUAUUGUAAACUUUUGUUGAGCCCCUUACACUUUAUUUUAUUUUAUUGAAACCCUUAGAGUAUCAAAUUCGCCCCUAUAAUUUUUAAAUUCCCAAAAUACCCUCUAUUUAAUUUAAAAAUAUAAUUAUUAUUAAAUGUGUUAUUAUUAUAAUUAUAAUAAUUAUUUUAUUAUAAUUAUCAAUAUAAUUAUAAUUUUAAAUAGAUUAUUAUUAUUAUUAUCAUUAUUAACAAAAAUAAAAGUAUUAUAAUUAAAUAAUCUAUUAACGAUAAUUAAUAAUAAUUUUUUAGUUAAAUUAAUAAUAAUAAUAAUUAAAAUUUAUUAUUAUUAUUAAUUAAUUUUGAAUAAUAAUAAUAAUCAAAAUAAUUAAAAUAUAAAAUAAUAAUUAUGAUAAAAAUUAAUUAAGAAUUUUAUAGUAAUUUGCUACAAUUUAACUCAUUCCUAUUUUGAUUCUAAAACAAAGUAAAUACAUAAAUGGUAAUACAACUCAUUCUAAUUAUGAUUCCUCCAGUUCAAGUAAAUAAAUUAUUUUGAUUCCAAUUCCUCAUUUUGAUUCUAUCUAUUCCAAUUUUAACUCAUUAUGUUUUCAGCUAAUUUUGAUUCCUAUUUAGUGAAUGCACUAUAAAAUUGUAAACCACUCUAUAUUCAACUAGACCACUCUAUAUUAUUUACAAUUUAUUCAUAAGUAUUAUGAAACUUUCUUCUUACCUAUACUAUAAAAAUUCAAUUUAUCUCCCUACACUCUUUUUCAUUUACUAUUUUUUUAUAAGUGUCAAAAGAGUGUUUACAACCAUGACACAUUAGUUAUCAUAGCACACUAAUAUUAAUAAAAAGUUUUUUAAGAAUAUUACCAUUCAUCUUUUAUAUAAUAUAUUCUCAUAAUAAUUAAUACUUUCAUGAUAAAAGGAUUAACAAAAUAAAAAGUAAAUUCCCUUUGAAUCCAUCCCUCUCCACCAUUAACUUCUCUUUAUCAGCAACCUUCAUCGAUAAUUGAAGUCACCAUUAGGCUCAUCAAAGAGAAAGAGAGUACGAGAGGGGAAGAAGAAAUGGGAAAAAAAUAUGAGAUUUUCACAAUUUUAUAGUGCAUUCAUUAAGCAAGAAUCAAAAUUAGCUGGAAAAAUAAUGAGUUAUGAUCGAAAUGAGGAAUUGGAAUCAGAAUAAUUUAUUUACUUAAACUGCAGGAAUCAUAAUUAGAAUGAGUUGUAUUACCAUUUAUGCGUUUAUUUUGUCUUAGAAUUAAAAUCAGAAUGAAUUAAACAAAUUAUUAUAAAAUUCUUAAUUAAUUUUUAUCAUAAUUAAUAUUUUUUAUUUUAAUUAUUGUGAUUAUUAUUAUUUAAAAAUUAAUUAAUUAAUAAUAAUUAUUUUUAAUUAUUAUUAUUAUUAACAAUUUAACUAAAAAAUUAUUAUUAAUAUUGUUAAUAGAUUAAUUACUUAUAAUACUUUUAUUCUUGUUAAUAAUAAUAAUAAUAAUAAUCAUCAUCAUCCAUUUAAAAAAUAUAAUUAUAAUUAUAAUCUAUUUAAUAAUAAUUAUAUUUUUUUAAUUAAAUGGAUGGUAUUUUGGAAAUUUAAAAAUUAUAGGGGCGUAUUUGAUACUCUAAAGGUUCUAGUUAAAUUAAACAAAAAUUACAUACGUAUGUACAUACAUACAUAAAUUAUAGGGGCGUAUUUAAUAUCUAUAAAUUAAACAAAAAUUACAUUAAAUAUUUACACAUUGUCAUACAUACGUAUGUACAUACAUACAUACAUACAUACAUACAUAAUUUAUCGAUAUUAUAAAAUAUACAUAUCUACUAAAAUAUUACAUACACUAUUGAGGUUUUAAUUAUAUAUAUGUAAAUAAUAUUAUAUAUCAAUAUUAUAAAAUAUACAUGUCUACCAAUAUUUUAUACAUUUACAUUAUUAAAGCUCUAAAUAUAUUUAAAAUUUUAUAAAUAAAAUAUUGUGUCUAUAUUCAUCCUUUUAAAGAAUAAAAAUAAAAAAAAAUUAUUUUUAAUAUUUGAGUUUUGAUGAUAAGAAUCUGUAAAUUAUUUUAAAAUAUAAAAUAUAAUCAGGUCAUUGAUCGGAUAAAUGGGUUAAGAAUUUUAAUCAUAACCCGAUACGGAAAAAAAUUGUGUUGACCCAAACUCGAUCCAUUUAAUAAUCGUAUUAAAUUUAAUGACCCAUACUUAUUUAUUGGUGUCAUACUCGUGUCGAGUAAUCGGAUCGUAUCAAAUUUUAUCAGCUCUAGGUACAGCAACUCUUAUUUUCAUAAACAGACUUUUUGUCUUCUGCCCUUUUUUUUUUUUUGCCCUUUUUUAACUUUUUUUUUUGGUCCUUUUUUAACUAACAAUUAGUAAUACUACCAAUUACAUGUGACAACUGUAAGGAGUUCAUUGUCAACAAAAUAAUUAAGUCCAGAGAUUUGUUGUACCAUACUUGACAAAAUUCAACACAGUCUAAUAAAUGCUGAAAAGUGGAAACGGAACAAUUGCAGAGCGCCGGUGGAGCUCACCCGGCUAGAAGAUUAACAAAUUUCCUCCAUUAUUGUAGCCUAAAGACUUUUGAAGGCUAGAGACUUGUUCCGAAAUUUCAGCAUCCAUUUAGAUCGAGUAAAAACCAUCUUUCUCGGACGAUUACGAAGCAAUGGCUGUUGAAGAGCUCUUACUGUCUGCUUUCUUUCAAGUGUUGUUUGACAGAUUGGCUUCUGGUGAUUUUCUCACCUUUGUGGGUCAACUUCGAGGCGGGCUGGAUUCCGAGCUCAAAAAGUGGGAAAAAACUUUGAUAAUGAUACAGGCUGUGCUCAGUGAUGCAGAGGAGAAGCAACUGACGGACAGGGCUGUGAAGAUCUGGCUCGAUGAUCUCCGAGACUUGGCUUAUGACGCAGAGGACAUUCUUGAUGAGUUUGCUACUGAAGCUUUGAAUCAGAAGACGAUGGCAGAAAAUUCGAACCACAGUCCUGCUUGUUUCAACUGUUUUAGUCCAAGUUCUGUCAAGUUUAAAAUCGACAUGGAUUCCAAGAUUAAAAGUAUCACUAGCAGGUUGGAUGAACUAUGUGCUAAAAGAAUUGUACUUGGAUUGCAAUUGAUUCCUGGAGGGAUAUCAAAUGCCUGGAAGCGAAGACCGCCGAGUUCAAGUGUGCCAACGGAACGGGCUGUCUACGGCAGAGAUGAGGAUAAGGCCAGAAUACUUGAAAUGGUGUUAAGUGAUGAUCCAACCGCUGACGCCAACUUUUGUGUAAUACCAAUUGUCGGCAUGGCAGGGUCUGGAAAAACAACGCUUGCUCGGGAGGUCUACAACGACAGGGCUGUGCAAAAUUUCAAGUUUGAUGUGAAAGCAUGGGUUUGUGUUUCUGAUGAUUUUGAUGUUCUUAGCAUUUCGAGGGCUCUUCUCGAGUCAAUCACCUCCACAACUUGUGAUGUCAAGACGUUGAAUGAGGUGCAGGUUAAAUUGAAAAUUGCUGUGGAUGGAAAAAGGUUCUUGCUUGUAUUGGAUGACGUUUGGAAUGAGAACUACAACUUGUGGGAAAUCCUCAAAGCUCCCUUCAUGGCUGGUGCACCAAAUAGCAAAAUCAUUGUCACUACACGCCAUUCAAAUGUUGCGUCAACGAUGGGAUCCAUUGAACAUUAUAAUCUUAAGCUUCUGUCAGAUGAAGAUUGCUGGUCUGUUUUUGCGAAGCAUGCGUUUGAGAGUAGAGAUGCCGGUGCUCAUCAAUUUUCAGAAUUAUUUCGUAAGAAAAUUGUUGCAAAGUGCGGAGGCUUACCUUUAGCAGCAAGCACUCUUGGCGGCCUUUUACGCGCUAGACAUACAGAAGAUGCGUGGGAGGAUAUAUUGAGCAGCAAAAUGUGGGAUUUGCCUCAAGAAACUGACAUUCUCCCCGUGUUAAGGUUGAGCUACCAUUAUCUUCCUUCUUGUUUGAAGAGAUGCUUCACUUAUUGUGCGAUUUUUCCCAAAGAUUAUGAGUUCGAGAAGAAUGAACUUGUUUUUCUGUGGGUGGCUGAGGGUAUGAUUCAACAAUCAAUGACAGAUAAACGAUUGGAAGAUUUGGGCAAUGAGUUUUUUUGUGACCUCUUGUCUAGAUCACUUUUCCAACAAUCAAGCAGAGAUGGUUGUAAAUUUGUGAUGCACGACCUACUUCAUGAUUUAGCUCAAUUUGUUUCUGGAGAAACAGGUUUCUGGUUGGAAGAGGCAAAUAAGAAGUUAAGAACAUUCGAAAGGAUUCGUCAUUUUUCUUAUCCUCGUGCUUAUCAAGAUGGAAAAAACAAAUUUGAGGGUUUGAAUAAAGCCACAAGUCUGCGGACGUUUUUGCCUCUGAAAGUAAGAGUUUUUUCAUCUUGUUAUUAUAUAACCAACACGGUUCUUCUUGACUUGCUGCCAAAGCUCAAAAAGUUGAGGGUGCUAUCUUUAGAAGGAUACUGCAUUGCUCAUUUACCUAAUUCUAUCAAAGAUUUGAAGCUUCUAAGGUACCUCAAUCUUUCUGGUACAAUGAUCAAAAGUUUACCUGAGUCAAUAAGUUCACUGUUCAGCUUGCGGUUUUUGAUGUUAAGAGACUGUGAUCGUCUACAGAAGUUGCCUUCCAACAUGAGAAAUUUGAUUAAUUUGCAUCAUCUAGAUUUAAAGGGCGCACAUUUAUUAACAGAGAUGCCAUCGGGAAUGAAGACAUUGAAAUUUCUACAGACGUUGUCUGAUUUUAUUGUGGGUAGGGGUAUCGUAUCUGGCUUGAAGGAUUUGAAAAAUUUAACUUUCCUCCGUGGAGAACUUUGUAUUUCGAGAUUAGAAAAUGCGAAUAAUUCAUGGGAAGCAAGAGAAGCUUCAUUGUGCGAUAAGAAGUGUCUAGAGGCAUUGUCAUUAAAAUGGGGCUCUCCUCAUCAGUCGCGAAAUGUUAAUGAUCAGGCAGCAGAAGAAAAUGUACUUGAUAUGUUGCAGCCACACAAAAAUAUAAAGAAGCUAGAAAUCAUGCAGUAUGGUGGCAGGAGAUUUCCUGUAUGGUUAGGGGACCCAUCAUUCUCUAACAUGGUUGCUUUAAAAUUGAUAGGAUGUAAAAAUUGCACAUCCUUACCUGCUGUGGGGCAGUUGGUUUCCCUGAAAGAGCUUACAAUUGAAAGAAUGCUUGUACUCAGAAGUAUAGGGUUUGAAUUCUGUGGAAAGAAUUGCUUAAAGCCUUUUCAAUCCUUAGAGACUCUUUGCUUCAGUGGUUUGCCAGAAUGGGAGAUCUGGGAUACCGGCAACCAGACUGGGUAUACUGAAAUAUUCCCUCGCCUCGUUGAACUGUCCAUUUCUGGAUGCCCCAAACUAUCUGGAAAAUUACCCGACCAUCUUCCUGCAUUAGAGGCCCUUGUUGUCAGCUAUUGCGAAGAGCUGGUAGUUUCAUUCUCAAGCUUUCCUUUGCUCUGCAAAUUGGAAAUUUAUAGAUGCAAAGGACUGGUUUGCAGCUCUCCGAUUGACUCUAAGUUGAUAAAGCGUUUGACUAUUUCAAGCUGUUCUUUAGACAUAUGUGGAUGCAAAGGGAUGGUAUACAAUAGUCCACUUCACUCUAAAUCACUGUCGACGCCUGUGAAUAUUUCAAAUCUUUUAGAGUUUGGAAAAUUGUUAAAGCAAGGAUUUCUACCAGCAGAGUUUCUGGGGAUUGGCGAUUCUCAAGAUAUUCGGUCAUGGAGGCCCCAGUUUUUUCAGGGUAUGCAAUUUAGGGAGAAGGCAGCACAAGGGCUAUGGAUUAUCAUCGCCCCUGGAGAGGUAUCAACUGAAGAAAAAUGCAUGAGUCUGGUUUCAUUUCCAGAGGUAAAAUUUUUCCCGAUCAAUCGGCUUAAUCUUAAAAUUGAAAAUAGUGGAGCUUUAAAAUCCUCACUUGAGGGAAUGAUAUACAACUGUGCACAGCUGAAAAGUUUGGCCGUUGAAGGUUGUGAUUCUCUAGAAUACAUUGCAAGAGGCAAGCUGCCUUCGUCUUUAGAAUGGGUUCAAAUACUUGAUUGUAAGAAAUUGCAGUGUUUGUUAGUUGAUGAAGAGGAUGCUUCUGCUGCUUCUUCCUCAUUAUCCUCUUCAUCAAUGGCUCUCAAGUGGCUUGUAAUUAGCGGCUGCUCGGAGCUCACCCAUUUAUCAUCAAGAAGUAGACAAUUGCCAGAAGAGCUUGAAUAUCUCAACAUUGAGGACUGUCCAAAAUUAGAGUCGAUAGCCGAGAGCUUUCAUGGUAACGGACGAGUGAAAAUGAUUUUCAUCUCUAAUUGUGGAAACCUGAAAUCCAUACCGAAGGGCCAACAGAAUCUUAACUGUCUUAAGGAAAUCAAAAUCUUGAACUGUCCAAGUCUUGUUUCUUUUCCAGAAGGAGGGCUUCCCAGCACUGUUACAAAUGUUUCUAUUGGCAGUUGUGACAAGCUGAAAGCCCUACCCGAAGACAUGCACAAGCUCCAUUGCCUUCAAGAGUUAGAAAUCACGGAAUGUCCGAGUAUUGAAUCAUUUCCUGAAGCAGGCUUUCCUACCAACCUAACAUUACUUGUAAUUACUGAUACCAAAAUGUACAGGGCAAUUAUCCAAUGGGGCUUGCACAGGCUUACAUCUCUUCUACGCCUUUACAUACAUGGAGGUGAUAAUGCUGAGUCUUUUCCAGAUGAGAGGAUGGGAAUAAUAUUACCAACCUCUUUAAAUAGAUUGGGUAUUUCUGGAUUCCCAAGUCUGAAAUGCCUAUCUGCAAUGGGUUUUCAAAGCCUGGUCUCGCUUGAAUUUCUGAGAAUAUCCAAUUGCCCGAAGCUCAAAUCCUUUCCAGCGGUAGGCCUGCCACACUCACUUUUGCAGCUGCACAUUAGAGGUUGUCCUUUGCUGAAAAAGCAGUGCAAAAGGGACAAAGGAAAAGAUUGGUCCAAGAUUGCUCACAUCCCUUAUGUUAUGAUAGAUGGCAAAUUCAUCUUCGAUUAGAAAGAGAAAGAAUGAGCUCUGUUUAAUCUCAGAAUGAAGAAUUAAAGAAUUGCCUCCUUUGUUCCCUUAUCUUCUAUAAUCAGGUAUGCCAAUUCCUAUUAUCCGGGGUACUAAAAACACAUUGUUAAAUUAUAAACAUAUUUUGAUUUUCAAUUUCAAGAUCAAUCCUCUGCCUUCAACUGAAAAUGGCGCUAAAAUAUUUCAUUUUUACUUUUCUCAGACACUAUGAUACGGCAAUCUGACUUGAUGAUGCUGAAGUUUUUUAUGGUAAUGCACAAAUGGUUGGUAAGUACCUGAAAAUUUCAAGUUAUUUUAAUACUGUUUCCAUUUUCACUCAUCAGAAUUUUUUACGUAUUUUAUGCAAUCGUACUUGUCAAAUGAAGUUUUCAUUUUAUGAUGAUCUUGAUGCCAACUACAUUUCCAACUCUUUUAAGUUUUUGAACUCUUGCGAGUGAAAGUCAAUGAGAAGAAGUUUAUGACCUUUUCCAACGAUCAAUUCAAUUUGCUUCUAAGGAUAUAACAUUAGUCUUAACUUAUUUCAAGUAGCAGAUAUGAUUCUAUCUUUCUUCUGUUGUUUUUUCGGAGGCCAAGGUUGCUCACAUUCCUUGAGUUGACAUAGAAGGAAGCAUAAGGGAAGCUCUGAGACAAUCUACAUCAAAAUGUUCACCCACUCUUUCACAGUUUGGAAUGUACUACACUGCCUUCAAAAUGGACUUUUCGAAUCAAAAGGCAGAAAGGUAAUUAUACAGGGUUCAAAAGUCGGUUAAAAGUUAGUUUAAAAGCUUCUUAUUUUGUACAUGGAUCAUGGCAACAUUUGUUUUAUUUGGAUAUUAUUUGUUUUUAUACUGGCUUUUAGUUUAUUUUAGGUUCUCUGAGCAAAAUUUUAUCGUAAAUGCGAUUACUUGGAACACCAGUGUGCGUUUAAAAUGAAAUUGGGUCAUCUUAUCGCAAUUCUACGACCAAUCCAAAAAAAAUCCCCAACAAGAAAAUCAAGGAAAUCAGAUCAACUAGUGCAAGACUUGGCUUUGAGAAUAGAAGAAAACGAAACAUAAUCUUAUAUAUGGUGUCCAAAUUAAAGAAAAUUUGAGGACCAGUUCGGGAAAUCCCUAAUCAAAUUUUAGGAAGCUGGAUAACUUGCAGCCAGAAACCAAGUGAAUAAUAGAAUAAUUUGAGAGUUUUGUGGUAUGUAUUGUUAUGUCUAUAAUAGUAAUUUAAAUUUUGAACAAUUUUGUAAUAAAAGAAUUUUUUUUUUUUACAGGUGGAUCUAAUGUGUGUUUUGGCAGAUUAAAAUAACCGCACCAUUUUUUACAAUCACAUAAUGAGAAAAAUUACCAAAAUCCCCUUUAUUUUCUUAGAGAUUAAUCGUUUUAGAAAUUCACUAAAAUUUUUUAUAUUAAUUAUAUUUUAUUGAAGUAUCAAAUUAUUGCUAUAGCAUGCGAAAUCUUUUAAUGAGUUUUAAAACAUAAAGUAAAAAUGUUAAAUUUUAGCUAAUAAGAGUAGCAAUCGACAAUUCAUGGUGUAAAAAUAGCUGUAUCCACCAUUUAUAUAAAAUAGAAAAAUAGGAACCAAGAAUAUUUAAUGUACACAAUUUUUAUUUCCACUUACUCGCAUUUUUUACAUUCCUUUUUUUUCUUCAUUUUAGUUGGGGUGUUAGAUAAAUCCGUAUGGAUAUAUACUUAUUACAGUCAUUGUAGCGAUCCACAACAUUCUUGCACCACAUUAAAAAAGUGAGAGAGUAACUAAGAAAAAACCCAAAAAUCCACUUUUCAUUUUAUUAAGUUGAAUUUCUUGCACAGUCUUACUUCAUUAUUCAAAAUUUUUAACUUCCUCAUAUAUUUUAAUGUUAUUCUAUAUUUAAAUAUAUAUUUCUAGUGAUUAUAAAAGGUUCUGAAAGAUGAUACAAUGAAUAUGCCUUUUCAAGAAAAAAAUGGUAAAAAAGAAAUUAUACAAAAAUUUAGAAAACAAAAUUUGUUUACGUGUUUCAUGCAUCUAAAUGUGUUAUAAAUGUAAAACAAUAAAUUGAAAGGAUCUUUCACAAAUCUUUUCAUUUGAGAAGAUGAAAAUCUAUAACUAACACUUGAAUAAAUCAGGUUUAAGAAAACAAAAAAAAAAAACUAUUUUUCCUCGUGUAUAUAUAUAGCUUAAAAUUAUAAUCUUUUUUAUUUUCACCAAUUAGCUUUAAAUUUUAAAAAUCUUUUUUUAAUUAAAAAGAAAAGAGUUUGAAUAGAGAGUGGAAUUGGGGACUUCUAGGUUUGAAGUUUUUGGGAGUGAUGAAGAACUAAGAGCUGAAUAGCAUUGGGUGCAAAACAAUUGGCGUGGCUUUGGCUUUUUAUAGGACUUCAUUGUUCACGUUACUUAUUCGACACAUGGCUUCUCAUGGGUGGAAUUUGUUUUACAACUGACUUCACAAUUCACAUGUAGCUUUAACAACUUGGGACACAUGGCUUUGACGUGGGUUGAGUUUGUUGUAAUGGCUUCUCGUGGGUGGAGUCUUUUCUGUGAUUUGCGAUUGACUAAUUGGUAAAGGCAAACGAUUUGGACUAAUUACGUCCGAACUACGCAUGGGAACUUUAAGAGUGAAAUCUUGUUGCAGAUUGACGUGGUCAAGGUUACUAGGAGUGGUCUUAAGUUCAGAUUGACAUAGCGGUAAUAGACGAGGAAGAGGAAGAGACGAGGUUCAACUCGCAGAUGUAGCUUGAUGACGGAGCAGCUGGCGGAUUUUUAUUUCUUAUUACUCCCUCAAGUUUAAUUAGUUUCACAUAUUCGUUUUUACGUUUGAUCUUGGCACAUGUUUCAUUUUAACUAAAUAGAGAACCAGAAAAGAGCAGAUAACUAGAGCUGAGAGAUCUAUAUGUACAAUUAAAGACUCGUUAAAAUAAAUGAUUUCAAUACAAAAAAAAAUAAGGUUAAAGAAAUUACAUUUACAAUUGAUAGUUUGCUAAAGAACCGACUAAAAAAUAAACAAUAAAAAAACUUAACUUUCUAUACUGACUCAAUAAUGACAAAGUAUCGAUAAAAAAUGACAAAACUAUAUUGUAUCUUGGGAUUAUUCAUAUUGUAUGUAGUGUGCUAAUAAAUUAAAGAAAUUAAUGCUCCUGUGAAACCAAAAAAUAAUGUUCAAAAUCAUUCUCCAAAUUCAAUGUUAAAUUAACAACUUUUAGUAAGUUUACUUCUUCGAUUCUUUUUUUCUUUAAAUUUUUUAUGAAUAAACAUUUUUUUUAUACCGACUAUCUUUAUUUAUUUAUUUAUUUUAUAUCAAUCACGAGGUAUCUUGGGGAGGGCUCCAACUGUGGGAGGCACCUUUAAGCCCGUACCAUAACCCAGACUAGAAGUCUCCACUCGAACCGGGAGGCACAGGUUCUCCCAACAAAGGUGACUUUCCUGCGACUCGAACUGGGGAGCAAACCCAGUCAAGCCACUUAAGGGGACUCCAUUGCCAGUGGAGCCAACACUUUGUUGGUACCGACUAUCUUUAUUUUAAAGAAUAAGAAUGUCUGCCCAAAAAAUGAAACUCAAACCCAAAGGUAAACCACAUUUGCCAACUGCCAUUAAGAAAAAGGCGGUAGCAGAACAAUAUCAGCAAAAUCAUCAAAUUAAUUAUUAAUUGGUUUACAAUAAGAGGGUGAUGUUUCAUCUUACAGAAGCAAGGGGCAAAGCCAAUCCACCACUAGACUGGCAAAUCAAACGAAUACACAACUCUGCAACCACAGAAAAAAUCUUUAAAAUAGAGCAAACAUAAGAAAAGAUUUGCAUUCAUUCAACUUUCAACCUAAUGAUAUGUUAUAUGUAGCCCUCCAAUCUCCUUUUCUUUCGGCUUUGUAAAUUCUUUUUAGCCAAAAAUAUACUUGGAUCUGUCGGAUCUGAUGACACGAACACUUUUUAAGUGUUCAUCUGUCUGCUUAGUGGGAUAACGAUUCAAGGCCGUCGAUACUUUUGGAAACAAAGACAACCUUGAAGCUGAUCACCCGGGAUCACACCCCCACCUUUUGAUGUGUCAAUGGCCUCCCACAUUGAAACUCCUUAAUCCAUCUCAGGCCGCUUAUCAGGGUUAGUAUCCCAGCAUCUCUUCAUUACAUUUGCUUGAGAACUUGGGCAGCGUCUUGGUAUCUCCAGCGUCUCAGAUUCUGUUUCAAAAUGAAUGUAGACAGAAAUAAGAAAUGGGUUGCAUUUUGAGGUAUCAAUUUUUUUUUUUCCCCUUUUUUGAGGACCUGUUGAAAAUGGUCGAUUCUUAGAGAAAGAUAAUUACUGUACCCGGCGAACCACGGCUGAGGUGACUUCUGAGAAACUAAGGUCGGGAUAUGGCAUAUCACAGCAAUAUAUCUCCCAUACGCAGAUGCCAAAACUUUACACAUCACAUUUCCUAUUAUAUGGAUUGCCAUUCAGAACCUGAAACCAAGCCACUUGAUUCACUCAACUCAGAUUAAUACUGUCUCAUUAGCUAAAACAUUACAUCUGUAUUUCCACCAAACAAAAGAAAAAAAAAGCUCAUAGUAACACGGACAUUCCAAAGCCAACACAUCCCAUCAUCACAUCAAAUGAAGCAGAAAUUAACGGGAGAUGGUGCAAUCAAGAAUUUAUAGGAAAUGACCAUAUAUGUAUGACUGAUCUUCCAGACCUAUACCCCACUACAUUUUCCUUGAAACACAUAAAGAAAAACUAACAGCCAUGAAUUAUCUUUUUCUAGUAAAAGAAACUGACCUCAAAAUCACACUACAUAUAUGCAAGUAGAAAAGAAACAGAAAUAAAGUCUAUACCUCCGGAGCCAUGUAACCAAGCGUCUCCCCCCCCCCCCCCAAGUCAGGUCAUUAGGAUUUGGGGCUUCAACGCCGGCAACUACAAGAUCAGCAAUUUUUACAGUGCGAGUCUUGUUCAAUAAUAGCAUGUUCUCUGUUUUCACAUCUCUGUGGACAAUCUUCUGUGAAUGAAGGUUACUCAAUCUACAAAAUAUAAGUGCUGAGCUGAACAAGAUUUCGAGUCGCAAGCCAUCCUAUAGAGCCAUAGGGUAACAUAUGGUAGAAAAAUUACAAUUACUAAUGGGGUAGAUAUAGGUACCCUCCGUCGAGAUCAAGUGCUAGCUUGACAACCACUUUGAAAGCUAGUUUCCUUCUCCUGUGGUAAGUUUCAUUUCCUUCUAGAUUUUACCACAUGUGUUCAGCUUAAUUUCUUCCAAUUACUCCGAUUUAAGACCAAAUUAGACUUUCGAAUACGGGCUUAAGCAAUAUAUAUAAUGCAGAUGACCUAGGAAAUGGGCAAGGAUACUUGGUAAUAUGAAGGGACAAUUUGGAUGUGUUUGCAAAAAUGAAAAGACAGUAACCCUGAAAUAUUGGAUGCGAUUGAUGACUUGACGGUCAAUCUAAAGUUUUUUUUUUUUCUCUCUCUAAAUUUUUUAAAGCACUAAAUGCUUUCAGAUCCAUUUGCCAUCUAUAUUGAGUGUAUUCUAAUUAUAAUUCUAUCGUUGUUUGUCCUUUGAAAGCAAAUACGUACAAAACUGUAUUUAUCACUCUAUUUUAAACCCACCACCAAAAAUAUAAAAUAAAAUCAAAAUGUAUCUAUUAAAUUAAAUAAUUUGCACACACUACAGCUCUUAAUAGUCUGUCUACUUAUAAACUAAAGUUAUUUAUUAAUCAUGGUUAAUAUGAGAUGUGUGUAACAAAAAAACAACAAAUAGCUGGCUUGCUUUGCUCCAGAAAAAUCAUCGAGAUUUCGGUUAGGCAAACUGAGCAGUCCAAUUUUGGUACAAUAAUUUAUCUAACAAUUUUUAGUUUAGCAUUAAAUCAUAAUAUCGCUUUUUAUUAGCAUUAAUUUAAUUUCUUUUAAUUAAUGAUUAUGUUAUACGUAUAGUGUUACUCUCAUCAUCGUUUAACUUUUUUAAUCCACUACUGAUUAAUGGUUCAACAUAUUAUAAUUCAGAGAGAAUGACAAUUCCAUACCUCCUUUCUUUUUUUCCCUUUUUUUUUUGGCAUCACUUAGGUUUCUUGUAGAUUUUUAGUACCACAUUUUAUCAAUGACUAAAAAUGUUAAUUGAAAAAUUAUGCGGUUGACGGUAAAAUAUAGUUGGUUUAUUGAUGCACAAACUAAUACAUAAAAACGGGAGGUUGCUAUGUUACAGCAUCUGAACAUACACACCCAAAGCAAAUAGCACACGUGUCCCGACUUACAGAGAAACAGCAACGCAAAGCAAGGUUGGGGGGUUGCUGAAGCAGCAUCUGUAAGUUACUUACAGAUGCUGUGACUUAGUCAGCUCCCAUAAAAACGUAUUAACAUUGGGCCAGUUAAUGAGGUCCUUUCAUGCCGGCGCAACAUGAUCGUGCAAAUAUGAAAUUUUCACUGAACAUUGGUGAGCCAUGGUCCAAAACAACAACCGGACCAGUUAAUGAGGCUGGCUUAGUGUCUCUAAACAAGGACUAGCCCAAGUAUCAGUCAAUCAAGGCUUCGGUAGUUGGCAUCCCAAACCCAAUCAAGUGCUCUAUCCUAAAACUAAGAGUGGACCUUCUAACACCCCUUCAAAAUUCUUAUGAAACCUUUUUUUCCCAAUUAUUAUUAUUCUUAUUUUAAUACCAACAUACCCUUUUCUUAUUAAAUUCCAUUUACAAUUAUUUUAGUUUAUUCCAAUUUAAUUAUUUUAAGGCCUUAUUUGGUAAUGAGCUACUGUAAUUUUUACAGCUACUAUGAAAAAAACUGUAACUAUAAAAUAAAAGUUAAUAAUAUAUAAUAAAUAUAAUUUUUAAAGAAUGAUUUUGACAAAAUUAAUAAAGAUAUACUACACUUUUUAUCAUACAAGUAUAAAAUCAAAUCAACUUAGUUUCUUAGCUAUAAUAGUUGGUAUUUACUAAAUAUUUUAGUACGGUAAAAAUUACAGCUACCCAACAUAAAUUCCAAAUAAAUACUUAAAUUAGAUAGAGGCGAUGAGUUUGCAAAACUAUGUAAACUUAAGCGGAGCUUCUUGAUGGUUCCUCCAAUCGCAGUCAUGAUAGCAAAUGUUGAACUUGGAAAAACAUAAGCUGCCGAACUCAAUAAGCAUUUGGAAUAGAUAGUACAUCAUGUAGUUUUAAAACCAGUUUUUUUUUUUUUUAACUUUUCUGACCGGUGAAACAAACCAAUGUCUUACUUUUGGUCUUUUGGAUAGAUGAGUCAAAAAAAAAAAAAAGCACUCGUUGAUUUUUCAGAUUUAGAGAGAGAGAAGCGAUCGAAGAGUUUGUAGAGAAAAUAAGAAUACCCUAGGUGUGAAACGUGUAGAUGAGUUUGUUCUUCAAUAGCAGGGUAUUAAUAGCUGUAUUGUAAGGCAAAUAGAUUGUCCCUUAAGCCCAUUGAAACUCGGCCUAUAUCUAAGGAAUAAGUAGACUUUAAUUCUCAAGCUGAUUUGGGGGACACUGGGCCAGGCUGGCUUCGUUUUGUUUUUUGUUUUCUCUCGCAAAUAAAAUUACCAAUUUAAAGUAAGGCUUUGGCUACUUUAGAGUUUGUCUAAAGCAAAGUAAGAAUCACAGCCACAUAGAUAAAAUGAUAAAUAUUAAAAAAAUUAUUAUAACUUUGAUCAUAUGGUUAUAAUAAAUUGUUUUACCUUAAAGCAAUUCUAAUAUAAUCGAACCCAAUCCCAAUUAGUUAUAAACAUAAAGUUUCACUAAUGUCGUGUGUGUUUUCAUGUGUCAAAAUUAUAAUUAUUGAUUUACUUCUAAAUAUGUAACGCACUACGAGCAUAAACUAUCGAAAUCGUACCAUUAUUAUAAAUCUAUUCUAAUCUAUGAGGCUUUUAAUUGAAAAUAUAAUAGAUUAUAUUGUAAUUCAAAAUAAAAACGUAUAAAUGUCAAAUAAUAAGUUAACAUACGAGUGCAGUAUCACACAAAUUUUUCUCGGUGCACGCAUUGCCAACUUGGAAAAUCUACUCAACUAAUACUUCCUUCUCUUUACUGUUGCAUUGAUUUUAAAAAGUUAAUUUUAGCGGUCUUGCUACAAUGCACCAGCUGCACCAUCUAACAAGUUUUACAUUGUCCUUAACAAAUUAUUCAUUCAUAAUCGUUGAUUCACUAUAUUAUUUUUAUACAUAACAUGUUUUUGUAAUACAUAUAGUAAAUUAUGUAUACAACGAAAAAGUUAUUAUCAAUUAAAAAAAAAAAUUACGGAUGUACGGUGCAGCAUGCUGCGCCAUAAUCACACACUAAAUUAUUAAAAUAAUGAAUAAAUUAAAAGAUAAAUAAAACGUACAUUUUAAAUAAAAUAUUUUAUUUUUUAAUGCAUUAAAAUAUGUGUUUUACAUACCUUUUAAAUUAUUUCUUAUUUUAAUAAUUUAAAAAAUCUUUCAUUCAAAAUUUAUUCUAUACAUAUAUUAAGUUGGCCCAUUUUGAUAACAUAAUAUUUACAUGCAUGAACUUGAUCACUAACACAUAUAUUACAUGAGUCGCACCUGAUGAAAAUUCCAUAUGAUAUAUAUUCAAGUGAUCCAGAUCGAUAGACAAAUUAAUUGUACCAUGUUACAGUUAAAAUUGGAAAAUAAUAGAUUGGUACAUCUUCCUUUUAUGUGGCAAAAUAAUAUAUAUAGUACAUUUUUCCUUUUACGUGGCCCUCAUGACGUCAAGGUAUAAAUCAUCAUGUGACAGUGAUUUAAUGUGGACAUCUAAUGGACCACCAAUAUAUUCAACACUGAAAGUUAAAUCAAUUUUUGUCUUUUAACAAUUGUUUGUCAACAAUUUAUGGUCCUAAUUUUAACAUAAUGUGAACGUUCAAAGAAGACAAAAUACUAGAGAAUUUAGCAACCUAUUUUUCCACGCGAGGACUCAAGCUCCCCCUCCAUUGCCUUUGCAUUUAUUUUUCAGUAAUAUCACUUUUUACUUUAUAUAUGAGAUUUUUAAAAGUAGAUUUAGUAUUCAGAUUGCGUAUAGAUAUCUAGAGUGCCAACGAACUAUAUAAGCUCUGCAUAAAGGAACUUUUUUUAUUCUAAGCUCUCUAGCUUUCAAUGGUCUUAUUCUACAUUUUAAUCGUAUAAUAAUAUUGUAUAAUUGAGAUUUAACUGUUAUUAUUAUAUUUUAACUUACUAACCACGAAUUAUUUACGUAAAAGUUACUCAAAAAGAACUCAUAUUAGGAGGGAAUAUGGUCAGUAAGUAACUAAAGUAUGCCACAACAAAAAAUGAUUUAGAUAUGCUAACGGUAAAUCUUAACUAAUGCUUGUACUACUUAUACAUGUACGUUUGUACUACCAAUGGUGAAGCCAGAAGUGUCCAGUCUGAGCAAGUACUACCUUAUUAAGUUAAUUUUCUCCCAAAACUUCAAUCCAGAAAGUGUGAGAAAUGACAAGCACCGUGCUUCAAUUUUCCCCUAAAAAAGAAACAAGCAAGAAAAGAAAAAGCACACGCUAUACUUUUUAGUUCAACUUCCUCGGUGCUUUAAAGCUCUUUGGGAGCUGCUGUCGAAGUGUACUCGGCAAAGGUUAGCCUGGGUCCAAUUGUUCUCAUUUGCAGGUCAGAUCUAAAAUUGGGUCAGCAAGAUAAUUGCAUAAUUGAACCCAAUUCAACCACCAUAAUUGUUUUAGAAAGACUGAUAUGCGUUUAUAAUUGGUUUUGGUAUAUCACCAUUGUUCAUAUUUCACCAUCAGUGUGACAGCAUUUUUUUUUUUAAGUAUAGUGAAUGAACAGAGAAAUUUGUCGGCAAGCUUAUCCCAACUCCUUGAUUGCUAGUUUAAGUGUCUAUUCACAUCAAUGAGCCAAUUGGAUUCAUCUCAUUACCGGUAUUUAAGGUCAAUUUUUUUAACUUAAAUCUAAUAUGUUAUUAUACAACUUAAACGAUAAUCCCAAGUUUUUUUAAACUUUUUACUUUUGUAUGAUCAAAUAAAAAUCAGUUAGGUUGCAGUAGCCGACACAAGAUAACUAAAAACAGAACAAAUUUCAUGAAAAGUUCAUAAAAAAAGUCUUUAAAAAUAAUUGCUUUAUACUAUGAAAAUAAAAAAAGAAAAGUGCUUCCCGCACAUUUUGAUGUGCUAUGAAAUAUCACAUAUACUUAAUUUUUUGUCUCAACUAGGGUUGGUAAUUUAUCGGGUCAAGCCGAGCCUGAAUCCGACCCUAUAACACAACUAAAUGGCCAUAAUCCUACAAAAAAAUCUUAUUGUUUCACUUUCUACCCGUCGGGCUUUAAAAAAGCCCGAACCCUACCAAUUUUUAAAUAACCAACUUUGAUAUCGUAAAUUUAGAUUUAUAUAAACAAAUGCAAAUCUACAACCUAUCUUAUUCUAACUAUUAAAAGUAAUGCUUUCCAUGAUUUUCAUAAGCAAUAUGAAAUUUGUAGUGUUUUGAUUGCCUCAAAAAAUCCCAACUAAUCAAACACUGCCCAAGAACUUUGUCAAGAUAAAUUCAAGUUGCAUAUGAAUCAAAUGACCAACCUUGAUGACUCAAUGAUUAACAAGAACCUAGUAAACGAAUUUUAGAGACCAGAAACACAAGUAUCAAGCUAAAUUAGCAACCAAAACACACAGAAAAGAAUACUGAUUUUACGUGGUUCAAUUGUGCAAAGAAGCACAAUCUACCAGAAUGAGUUUUUACUGAUGAUUCAAGUUGAAUUUAUAAAGCUUUUACAGAAUAGAUGACAAGAAAAGGGAAGACUCUCUCUCUGUCUCUUAAAUCUCUCUAGAACGCUCUUAAUUCCUCACUGAAACUGCCUCAACAAUCAGCUUUGUAUAACAGCCGAUAACAAACCGGAUUGCACCAGUUUCUGCCACGUGGAUAACGGCCUGCAACAAUCUUGAUUCCCCCUCACAUGCUUAAUCACGUGCAUGACUUAAGUCUGAGCCAAAACGUCUUCAUGUCUUGCCGGUUAUUAAGUGAGUCACACGUCCAUCACGUGACAGCUUGAAACAAAUUGAUAGGAAAAACGAUGCCGUUUCACAUGUCCAAGUUUUAAAUUCAGCAAAUUAGUCCACAAAAUUAAAGUUAUUUAUUUAUUUUUUAUCCAAGGACAACUCUUUGCUCAAACCAAAAACUCUUGAUCUUGAAUAUCUUUAUAAUCACAGAGAGCCACCUGAAGCUUGGCUGCUCAUCAGCCUCGCUUGGAUUCAACCACUUGAGAGGACACCAACAUCAGUUUUUGCAUCUGAUGCUCUGCCAAUAUUUCCCUCGUCAAUCCUUCUGCAUUGGAAGCAUAAAACAUUAAAGAAAACACUGAUAAUAAAAAAUUAAGUGACAAUUCAAAAUGUUAUACAGUUCAUGUUAAUUAUUAAACUCUAACAAGACAAGAAAGAAAUUAAGAACAUUAAUUGUGAAAAAAAGUGAAAUAUUGAUUCAAAAUUAUAGAUCUUAAUGUAUGAAGCUAUAAAGGAAGCGCCUAGAGGAUCUGUUUUGUGAUGAAAAUUUAAAAUUUAUGUUUUAAAAUAAUAAUAAUAUUUUGAAAAUUUGCACAUGUAAAAAAAUAUAGAAAUGUGUGAAUAUGUUUUCAUUUAGGUGGUAAUUUUGCUCGCCUAAUCAUAAUUCUUUUUGAUGUUGUCUGAAAAUAAAAAAAAUAAUUGAAUAUUAUUUAGAGAUAUAUACUAAAUAAUUUAUUAAAAAAAGUUUACAAUCUAUAUACAAAUUAUGAUCUAUAAUUUAAUGAGAUUCUGUAUAAUUGCACUUUAAAUUUAUAGUACAAUCCAGAAGUUUUUCGAAAAUUAACUUAGAAAUCUACUCUCAUAAAUAUACAAAAAGAUAUGUACGAUAUUUUAAAUUAAAAAUAUAAUAUUAUAAUUCAUUAUUAAUUUGGUUUGUAUUAAUGGGAAUCUUCCUUGCAUUCUUCUUUUAGUUGUGCCAAGGAUAUCCUUGAAAAGGAAAUGCUUCCUCAUGUUCCUAUGACUGAAUUCUCUAGAACUAAGAAAGCUUAUUAUUUUGGGUAACUAUAAUCCUUCUAUAUAUUAUCAUUGUCAUUACUUUAGAGUAGUUACAGUUCUUAUUGAUCCUUUCUUCAGCUAUAUUAAUUAUACAUCGGCUUCUUCUUUGUGCAUUUGGCCGGUGGGUUAAAGAUGAUAGAUAUCAUUAUGGCAACAAGAGGUUGGACCUUGCUGGUUCAUUACUUAGAAGGCUUGUUUAGGAUGGUUUGUUUCAUUUUUGUGUUGAGGUAGUUGACUUUACUUGUGAUCAUACGAAUGAAGAUGUAUCUCUUUUCUUUUAACACCCCACUUUUAUAACUAAAAUAAGAUGAUGUAUUUUAAAAUAUUUAAAAUCUCAAUAUUUUUUUAAUAUAAAUACGGAUAAUUAAAAAUUUUACAUGAUAAGCAGAAACUUCAUUACAAAAUAUAAGAGACACAUAGAGAUUCCUUAGUAUAUAUUUCAAAACUUCGUUAUUAUGUAAGAGAAUUUAAGAUAUUUAUUUUUUAUAACAACACGACUAAGCCCAUCACAGUCCAACGGUUUGACAUGCCCAUAUGCAUUUCAUCUUGGUUGGGACUUGGCUUCAGCUUGAUCUACUCAUUAUUACUUGCAAUGUAAGGAUUGCAUGAGCCAAUACCUAGUAAGAUAACAUGCAAGUAUAAAUUGUUAUGCACAUGGAUGAGCUUAUGAACAUUAAAUAUCUAAAAGAAACAUAGAAAUAUAAAACAACUUUGUUAGGGCCCUACGUACAUUGCACGACAAGGUUGGCAAUUUUCAUUCUUUAAAAUAGCAUCCCCUUAGGCCUAAAUUAAUAAUUGAUCUUUGGGCAUUGCAUAUCGCCGUCCCCAAAAGAUUACUCUUUAUUUAGCUUUGAGGGCUUGCCCUUCUUGGAUAUUUUACCACCCUAGUAGUACAACAAUCCAUUGUUCAAGACUCAUUUUUUAAAAUGUCUUCUUUGUAAAGUAAUCUUAACAUAUUAACAUGAAAUGCAUGUGUUCAAUGCAACCUAUAUCAUGACAUGUAAUGUUCCUAGAUAUAUAACAAAGCCAACCAUACAAAGUUUUCUAAAGACAACAAUCUUUAGUAUAGGCAGCAGUGCCGUCCAUAUAAAGAUUAAAUAAAAAACGUUAUUAUAAUAUAGAUGGGAGAGUGGACUAGGGGUGGCAAAAUAACCUAGACCCAGCCCGGACCCGGAUGAACCCAGAUUAUCCGGUGCGGGUUGAACCCGGUCCAGAGAUAAAAAUAAUGCGGAUCCGGAAUUCAUUUUAUAAACCCGGACAUAUCCGGGUUCGGAUCCAGGUUUACGUAAACCCAGAUCUCCGAAACCCGGACCCGGAUAUCUUUAUUUUAAAAUUUAUUAAAUAAUUAAUUUUAAGUUAUUAAAUCUAAAUAUAAAAGUAAAAAAAAAAAGGAAAAGAAAAGAAACCCUAAAACAAACUGCAGUAGCAGCAGCCCUAUUUCUCCUCUUCUCUCACCUUCUUCAAUCUUCACGCCACAAAGCCCAAAUUCAGCAUCGUCAAUUUGUCAUCAUCCUUGUUAAUAUUCAAGUAAUUCCCAAGCAUCAUCAUCAACAGCUCAUCAUCAACCUCAAUAUUCAAUUCAUCCCGUCACCAUUCUUCUUCAUCAAUUUGUCGUGUCGCCGUCCAUGAUUCACCAUCGUCUUCAUCGCGUCACCAUUCAUCUUGAUUACAUCAUCAACAUACAUGCUUCUUGGGAAUUAAUAGUGCUCUGAGGUGAUAUUAACAUAUGUGGGUCAGCUUUUAUCUCUAAAUCAUGAUUCAUUUCAAUUCAUUUAUAUUCAAGUUGUCUCGAUUGUAAAGAAUCUAUAAUCUUUUAAUUCAUUGGUGCUUGCGAUUUGAACUCUUUCUAGAAUUUUUCAUAACCUGAAACGGGUUUCUGUUUUUCAGUUCAUUUAGUUAUCCGGGUUUAAACCUGACAUCCGGAAACCCGAAUUUCUCCGAGUUGAACCCGCACCGGACCCGGAGCCAAAAAAUCCGGGUUUAUAUCCGGAUCCGAAAUGCAAAAUUGUCAUCCGGGUCCGAAACCGGGAAGGCUAAACCCGGACCUGGACCCAGAUUUUGCCAUCCCUAGAGUGGACCAUAUCAUAAUUAAAUAAAAAUAUCACAGUAUAGGCGGCAUAGCCAACCAUAUAAAAAUUAAAUGAGAAAAUAUGAAAAUAUAGGCGGCAUAGCUGACCAUAUAAGGAUUAAAUAAGAAAAUAUCAAAUAUAGGUGGCAUAGCCAACCAUAUAAAGAUUAAACAAUAAAUAAUCACAUCAUAGUAGUCAUCAUAAGAUAAAAAAAUAAUUAAAGAUGAAUUUAAGUAUGGAAAGAACAUUAUCCGUAAACUACAGUUGAAGUGUUACUUACCUCUUAAUUUUGACUUCUCUAGGCCCUCAUAAUUUGAGGAUUUAUCUAUUGUUUGAUGUUAUUACUUAGAAUAGAAGAGGACAGAAUUUCUAAAGUGAUAUAGAAAAUGAAAGGGCUAGGGGUACUUAUAGGAUUUCCUAAAGCUAAUGGAUGGUUAAGAUUUUACCACUAUAACUUUUGAUUAAUGGUUGAGAUUUAUCCUUCCAUAAAUAUCUUUGUAAAUUCUAGAAUUUAUAAAUAUUUUAUAGAUAUCUUGUUGCAUAAUUACUUAUGUCAUCACUUAUGUCAUCAUGACUCUAGAGUUUUCUAUCAUAAAUAUUUUCUAUUAUUAUUAUUUUAAUAGGUAAGGGGAUUUAUUAGCCUAAAAAUUAAUUCUACUAUAUUCAAAUGAGAAAUUUAUAUCUCACAAUUGCCUCCCCAUUAAGAAAAUUUUAUGCUCGAAAUUGAUUUAUUGAAUAGCUCAGGAUACUUAUUCUUUAUAUUUUCUUCACGUUCCCAUGUUGCCUCCCCCAUCGAGCUAUUUCGUCAUAGUAUUUUAACUAGAAAAAUCUUCUUGUUUUUUAUCUCCUUUAUCUUUCUAUCAAAUACUUGGAUUGGACGUUCUCCAUAGGUUAAGUUUUCUCCUAGUUGAAAAGCCUUAUAAUCUAGCACGUGAGAGGGGGUCUGUAACAUAUUUCUUUAACAUAAAGAUAUGAAAAGACAUUGUGUAUCCUUGACAAUGGUAGAAGAGCAAGUCGGUACGAAACGUUCUUGACAUAUUCAAGUAUUUCAAAUGGUCCAAUAAACCUCGAAAUUAAAUUUCCUUUUACAAAUACCUUAUCACCAACUUGAAAUUCUGAAGGCCUUAAGCUCUUAUCUACAUGACUUUUCUGUUAACUUUGAGCUGCCUAUAUUCUUGGACGUAUUUUCUCGAUCGCCUUAGAUGAGACAACAAUGAGGCCGGGCCCAAGCUACCUUUGCUCGCCCAUUUCAUUCCAAUGAAUAGGUGACCUACAUUUUUUACCAUAUAGAGUUUCGUAGAGUGCCAUGCCGAUUAUUGCUUGAUAGCUAUUAUUGUAGGCAAAUGCAACCAAAGGUAGAUAUUUGCUCUAUGAUAUUUGAAAGUCGAUAGUGCAUCCCCGUAAUAUAUCUUCUAGUGUCUAGAUCGUUGUUUCUAACAGACCAUUUGUUUGAGGGUAAAAUGUUGUACUAAAUUUUAAUUUUGUUCUCAUAGCUCUAUGUAACUUUUCCUAAAAUGUUGAGGUGAACCUUGUAUCUCGAUCAAAGAUAAUAGAAAUAGGUACACCAUAUAGUCUUACUAUCUCCUUUAUGUAUAUUUCUGCAAAUUGGUUUAUAGUGCACGUCAUUCAAAUAGGUAAAAAGUGGGCAGACUUUAUGAGUCAAUUGACGAUCAGCCAAAUGGCAUCAUGCAUUUCUUUUUCAAUUUUUUUAUUACUGUUGGUAUUUAUGCAAUUUUUGAGAAAGUUAAACUGGAAUGUGAGAGCUUAUGUGAAGAAGGUUCUAAGUAUUUGUUGCUUUCUUUCUUUUUUCCUUUUUGUUUGAUUUUGAAUCACUUUUUUUCAUUUCUUCUGGUUUGCACUCAUGCAGUUCAUCCAUUUUGUAAAUGUUGGAUAAGGAUCUAUAUGUUAAUUUGCAAUAUGCUAUUUUAGCUAAAACAAUUACCCAUGGUAUAAAGUAUUCUUUGGCUAUCGGUAAUUAGGGCCAGUUAGAUGCGUUUAUUACAAGAACAAAAGUGUCAAAGAUUUUUUUAUUUUUGAUCCAUUUGAAUACAUGAUAGUUUUUUUUGCUCACUCAAUUUCUACUUUGUAGCAUUCCUUGUAGUAUACCUUUUGAUUACAUUGAUCUUGUGGUCUUUCACAAAUGUUGAAUUACAUGACAUGCGCCGCUACCUUGUCGCAUUUGCGAACACUGUGUUCUCCCAUAGGGCAAAAAGGUAAACUACUUAUUGUUGUGCAUGAUUUUGUUUUAUUGAGGGUUCAUUCAUGCUUAGUUUUGUUUUUCUUUUAUGCAUCACCAUGUUGUUAUUUUGUUAAUUUGUUGCAUAUAAUUAAUUGUUUUCACUUUAUUUUUCUAAAGAAGUUUUCAUUUACUAGGUACACAAGUAAAACCUAAGCUGGCACAUAAUACACAAUGGGGUAAGAUUUGUUCCUUUCCAACACUUUUAGGACAAGUAAGUUAAAAUUGUGCUUAUAGGAUAUAUCUAUAAUAUCUAUUUCUGAUUGUAGCUUACAAGAAUUUGUUUUGGUUAAUCCAGGCCUGUGGACUAGUGAAGAAUCUUGCUUUGAUAGUCAAUGUAACCCUCAGCUCAUUAGUAUUUCCCAUUAAUGAGUUAUUAGAAUAUGAGCCAAUAGUAGAAGCCAAGGUGCAUUUUGUAAUUUAUGGCACUUAGACGUUAAUUAUACAUAUUUCAUUUAUGGCAUUUAUACGUUAAUUAUACAUAUUUCAUUCACAUUAUUUCAAUUUUCUCUUAAUUGUAGGAUGCUACUGCAAACUUUUUUCUACAAGCUACAAAAAUUUUUGUCAAUGGUUGCUGGGUGUCAUGCAUGAUGUUGGUUCAUUGGUCCAAGCUUUGAGACACUUGAAAAGAAAUGUCAUUAUACUUGUAUUUCAUCUAUUCGUAAAGAAACCUCUGUAUUAAAAGUUGGCAAACCUAUUGGUGUACUCUAAACUUUCUUUAGUAUUAUUUAUGCCAUGUCUGAACUAUUUUGUUUGUCUACCCAUGUACAAGACUUUAUAAAUGCUGCAAUUGGGGUUUCUAGGGAUAUCCAUUCAAAAGAAUUUUGUAUUGAUUUUGGUCGUUGUUGUCGUCCAUUGGUUAUUGUCCAGAAUCAAAGGCUUCUUAAAAAGAAGAAAGAUAUUGACGCCUUCUAUGACAAGGUUAGCCAAAUAGUUCUCUCUCUCUUUUUUAUUAAUGAUUUGUCUUUUCUGUAGUUACAUGACUUUUAUCUUGUUAAUCUUCUAGAAAUCUUCCGAAGAUGGUUGUUGGUGUGACCUUUCUAAAAAAGGGUUUAUAGAAUAUAUUGAUCCAUAAGAAGAAGAAACCAUAAUGAUUUGCAAGACAAUCAAUGUGAAUAAAAUGGUAUUGGUUGGUCGAAAACCUGUUAUCGUGAGACGUAAUUUUUAACUUGCUAAAAAUUUGAUUAACACAAAUUUGUUUCAGGAACUUGUAAAUGCAAAGCUUCGUCCAGAGGAGGCUACUUCUAAUGCAUACACGCAUUAUAAGAUUCAUCCAUCCUUGAUAUUGGGAGCUUAUGCUUCAAUUAUACCAUUUCCCGACCAUAAUCAGGUGCGUCAUGCUUAUGACAUUUCUCAGGUAAAAUAUGUUUAUAUAUUGACUCAAUCUCACCAAUUUUUUUUUUUCUUUUUCUUGAUGGGGUUUGCUUUUAGUCCCCAUGUAAUACGUUUCAAGCUGUAAUGAGCAAGUAAGCAAUUGGAAUCUAUGCUACAAACUACCGAUGACAUAUGAUACUGUAUUUGGUUUCAAUUUUUUUGUGAUUGGAAGCUCAUAUUCAGCAUGUCAUAUAUAAUGAUAUUAUUUUUCCUUUAUAUGAAUUAGGAUGCUUUAGCCUAUGUUCUUUACUACCCUUAGAAACCACUACUUGCUGGGAAGCCAUAAAAUCGCUUCAAGUUAACCAACUUCCUACUGGUGUGGUGAGUAUAUAAUUUAAUGCUGCGUUAUUGUUGCUCCUUAUGAUCAUAGUUUUCUUAUAAUCUUUUUGUCUAUGUUAUUUGGCAUUAGAAUGCAAUAGUCACUAUUGCCUGUUAUGAUGGCUAUCAUCAAGGAAGUUCUGUUGUUAUGAACCAGUCAUCUAUGGAUUAAGGAUUAUUUCGAUCUCUUUUCCUUCCAUACAUCUAGGUAAGCUGUUGUUGAGACAUUUUGUAUCUUAAUUAACACGACUCAAAAGUAUUGAUUACUUCUGAGUAUAAGAGUGUCUAAUUAUAAUAUAAUCUAGUGAGUUGGGGUUGAUCCACAAGGAAUCUAUAAAUCUAGUAGUCAUUAUUAAAAGGGAUAUUAUCAUUUUAUUAUUAAAGUUAUUCUGACAUAUCAUGUCAAUACCAUGAUUUGCCGAAAAGUGUAUUUUACUACCAAACAUUUGUGCGUUAUCAAUUCACUACUAUUCCCUUAAGAAUUUUAUGCAGUGUCCUUUGGGCCAGAGGUUUCAGCUGCGAUCCAAGAGAUUCUAAACUCUAAUUUGUUGUCGUCUGACUUCUUUUGUUCAUGGAUUUUAGAUAAAACUUCUGCGCUAAGUCUUGUUCAAAGUAUAAGUAUAAGUAUAGAAUUGAACUUGAUUCUGACUGAUUCCAUUGUUAAAAUGCAUGAGUUGUGUGGCUACUGGCUACUCUCCACUGAUGGUUUGCUGUCAUUGUACUUGUGCGUCAAAGAAGGCUUUCUUAAUAUUGUUGAGGAAAAUGUUGUCAGGUAAGGCUAAUCUGUUCACAUCUUGAAAUAAUUAUUUGAUGGUGAAUAUUUGUUAAAGUUAUCUAUUUUCUUUAUUUCUUAUGAUGAAGUAGAUUUGAUGUUGAGAAGAAAAAUAUUAGUGUUCAAUUGUGUGUUGAGUGAGUGGUUUAAAUGAGUAUUAAGAGUAAUUAAAAAUUAUAUAGUAAUAUUAAAUUGUUCAUAAUAUUAGUUUAACGAAAGACUUCUUAAUUUUUUUAAUAAAAUAUAGUGUUCAAAGUGUAUUUUAUCAAUAAUGUUGACAUUCCUACAUUUGAGUCUUAAUUUUAUGUGUCACUUGUUCAUUAAAUAAUAUAUUUUAUCAUUUAUAAAAUUAUUAUUUUAUUAUACAAUAAAUAAAUGACCAUCAAUUAGGACUAAAUUGAAACAUAAAUGUUGAAUAUUACGUUUUGUUAAUGUUAAAGUGUAAUGGUCAUGUUAUGUAGCAAAAAUUCAUGUAUUUAUUUUUUAUUUAUUUUAUAAAAAUUCAGUUUUUCAUAUACAUAGAAGUUAGUAAAUUGAAAUUGUUUCUAUUAAACUGUUGAAGUGCAGGUGUGCAUUUGCUAUAUAUAUGAUUUUUCAGAAUCUUUUAGUUAAAAAAAAAAAAAAAAAACUCGUACUUGAUAGGUAAUUAACUAGGAAAAAUAAAUAAAGAAGAAAGGUGGCAACUUAAGUGUAAUUUCAUUAAAAAUAAUGGAUAAAAUAUAUAAUUAAAUAUUUUGUUGAUAAUGAGACAAAAAGUUAUUUUAUGUGAUUUGAAGAAACAAAAGAGUAAUGGACACAUGUCUAAUGUACAAAGAGUAGGCGAGUAAGUCGCACUGACCGUAACACUGUUUAUAUAUACUGUUGUGGACCCGCCUGAGUUACAGUUCACGUAACACUACUCGACUUUUCUGGCUUCUUAAUGUAAACUAUCGUUGACCUCCUUGUACUUUAUAUUAUUAAUAAUCUAUUCAUAAGUAUAUAAACUUUUCUGUAUUGUAAACUUUUGUUGAGCUCCUUGCACUUUAUUUUAUUUUAUUGAAACCCUUAUAGUAUCAAAUUCGCCCCUAUAAUUUUUAAAUUCCCAAAAUACCCUCUAUUUACUUAAAAAUAUAAUAAUUAUUAAAUGUGUUAUUAUUAUAAUUAUAAUAAUUAUUUUAUUAUAAUUAUCAAUAUCAUUAUAAUUUUUAAAUAGAUUAUUAUUAUUAUUAUUAUCAUUAUUAACAAGAAUAAAAGUAUUAUAAUUAAUUAAUCUAUUAACGAUAAUUAAUAAUAAUUUUUUAGUUAAAUUAAUAAUAAUAAUAAUAAUAAUAAUAAUAAUAAUUAAAAAUAAUAAUAAUUAUUAAUUAAUUUUGAAUAAUAAUAAUAAUCAAAAUAAUUAAAAUAUAAAAUAAUAAUUAUGAUAAAAAUUAAUUAAGAAUUUUAUAGUAAUUUGUUACAAUUUAACUCAUUCCGAUUUUGAUUCUAAAACAAAGUAAAUACAUAAAUAGUAAUACAAUUCAUUCUAAUUAUGAUUCCUCCAGUUCAAGUAAAUAAAUUAUUUUGAUUCCAAUUUCUCAUUUUGAUUCUAUCUAUUCCAAUUUUAACUCAUUAUGUUUUCAGCCAAUUUUGAUUCCUAUUUAGUGAAUGCACUAUAAAAUUGUAAACCACUCUAUAUUCAACUAGACCACUCUAUAUUAUUUACAAUUUAUUCAUAAGUAUUAUGAAACUUUCUUCUUACCUAUACUAUAAAAAUUCAAUUUAUCUCCCUACACUCUUUUUCAUUUACCAUUUUUUUAUAAGUGUCAAAAGAGUGUUUACAACCAUGACACAUUAGUUAUCAUAGCACACUAAUAUUAAUAAAAAGUUUUUUAAGAAUAUUACCAUUAAUCUUUUAUAUAAUAUAUUCUCAUAAUAAUUAAUACUUUCAUGAUAAAAGGAUUAACAAAAUAAAAAGCAAAUUCCCUUUGAAUCCAUCCCUCUCCACCAUUAACUUCUCUUUAUCAGCAACCUUCAUCGAUAAUUGAAGUCACCAUUAGACUCAUCAAAGAGAAAGAGAGUACGAGAGGGGAAGAAGAAAUGGGAAAAAAAUAUGAGAUGUUCACAAUUUUAUAGUGCAUUCAUUAAGCAAGAAUCAAAAUUAGCUGGAAAAAUAAUGAGUUAUGAUCGAAAUGAGGAAUUGGAAUCAGAAUAAUUUAUUUACUUAAACUGCAGGAAUCAUAAUUAGAAUGAGCUGUAUUACCAUUUAUGCGUUUAUUUUGUCUUAGAAUUAAAAUCGGAAUGAAUUAAAAAAAUUACUAUAAAAUUCUUAAUUAAUUUUUAUCAUAAUUAUUAUUUUUUAUUUUAAUUAUUGUGAUUAUUAUUAUUAUUUAAAAAUUAAUUAAUUAAUAAUAAUUAUUUUUAAUUAUUAUUAUUAUUAACAAUUUAACUAAAAAAUUAUUAUUAGUUAUUGUUAAUAGAUUAAUUACUUAUAAUACUUUUAUUCUUGUUAAUAAUAAUAAUAAUAAUAAUAAUCAUCAUCAUCAUCAUCCAUUUAAAAAAUAUAAUUAUAAUCUAUUUAAUAAUUAUUAUAUUUUUUUAAUUAAAUGGAUGGUAUUUUGGAAAUUUAAAAAUUAUAGGGGCAUAUUUGAUACUCUAAAGGUUCUAGUUAAAUAAAACAGAGUAUAAGGGGUUCACCGAAAUUUUAUAAUGAAGAAAGUUUCAUAUACUUAUAAAUAAAUUAUAAAUAAUAUUGAGACAAAGGGGUUCAAAGAUAGUUUACAUCAAGAAGUCAGAAAAGACAAAGACAAAGCAGCUGCAGGUUACGUGAACGGUAACUUAGGCGGGUCCACUUUAAAGUUACGGUCACGGUCUUAUGUACUUUAUUCACAAAGAGCAGUGUUUUUUUUUUUUUUAAUACUGAUUAAUCAUCAGAUUAUUGUAUUACACAGAUAUUUACAAUAAUUACUAUUGUAACAGAGAUAUUAUACUGAUAUUUACAAUCAGAUAUACAUGAUUGAGACUUACAUUAUUACAUUGAAUUCUAUGAAGUACAUGCCCAGACAAAUAACCCCUCACAAGAGAGGAAUGUCCAUACUCUACUUACAUUUCGCAAGAGAAAAUAAUUUUUAAAUAUAAAGAAUAUUUAGCCCCCACAAUGCUUUUGUGGGGGCUAGAACCGCUGCCCUCACAAUACUUGUUUGGUGCUUCUCCACACCUAACACUGCUCUACACCUAACACAAAGAGCAGUGUUAGGUGUAAAGAAGCACGAGAAAAAAAUGAGAGAAUUUUAUUAUCUCUCUAUCCACUCAUUCACUCUCUAUCAUUUUCUUCUUUAUUUCUCUCGUUUUUCUCUCGUACUUCUCUUCACCAAGCAUUUUCCAUUCACAAAAGGGGCACUGAAUUAUUUAAUUUUGUAGGGCAGCUGCAGCUUGCUGAGUCCACACGGUGUUCAAUCUUAUCAAUUCCUCUGAGGCUCUGGACUUCUUGUUUCCAUAAUUCAACAAUUUUUUUUUGUUCUGCAUGCUCUCUCUUUCCCAUUUGAUCCGGUUUCCCAUGGCAGAGCUCUUACUCUCAGCUUUCUUUGGCAAGCUGGCUUCCCGUGAUUUGAUUAACUGAGGAGGGGUUGAUUCUGAGCUGAAGAAGUUUGAAAACACUUUGAAGAUGAUUCAGGCUGUCCUGAGGGACGCAGUGGAGAAGGAACUAACGAGUGAGACUGUGAAAUUGUGGCUGGACAAUCUCCCUAACUUGGCUUAUGAUGCUGAGGGCAUACUGGACUAGUUCGAUACUGAAGCUUUGGGGCUUGUAAAUUAAAGAACCUAGUCCCUUCUUGUUUCAACAUUUCCGGUGGUUUCAACAGCUUCCGUAUGCUUUCCAAUACCUGGAGAAUUUGAAGCUCGGGCACUUAUGCUCCCAAGCCUUUAAAUCCCACAAACAUAUUCGGGGAAUUAGUGCAUGACAUUCAUUUGUGGUCUCCAAAAACAGGUUGAUGCCGGGGCGUUGAUACCGAACACCUCUGCAAUUUGGAAGCAGGGAAAUUAUUUUUUUGACACACAAGCUUCAAACUGUUAAAGCUCUACCCUGCAGGAAUGCUGUAUAUAUCAAAUUCCAAAAACAAAUUAGAAUUGCUGCUUCCUGUGAGGCACCAUACCAAGAUCUGCUUUUGUAUUCAUUCAAUCAGAUCAAUCAUAUGGAUUGUCAACUUUCAAGGUUACGAUGGACUAUGAGUGAACAGAGGAGUUGGAAGAAGAAUUAUUAAGAACAGAGCAAAAACUGAGAAUCAGAUAGAGGAAGUUGGCAAUCAUUGAAGAAGAGGCAGCCUACAUUGCUUUAGUUAAUGAUGAAAACUGUCAAGAUGCUCUUAGUUUGUAUGUUAAUAUGAUUGAAGUAUGGGAGAAAGUACAUUUGUCUAAUUUUUUUGACUUUAUUGACCCCCCCCCCCCCCCCCCCCCCCCCCCCCCAAAAAAAAAAAAACUCAAUCUUCAAAUCAAAAUCUCAUCUUCGAACCAACUUGAUAACAAAAUAUUAUUAUUGUUUGUUACUACUUGACAAGAAAUUGCUAAAAUGUUUAUUCAUUACGAAAAGUGUUGAACCAAGAUCAGAAAAUGACCAAUCUUGUUGCCACAAGACCUCACUAAACUCUCUGAUUAUUCACCAAGGGACAAAAGAAAUUAACAAUUGAAACAAACAGAAACGGAAUCAAAGAAAGAGCACACACAACAAUUAUAGAGGACUCAGGCAAAAAGGCUUUAUUGCCAUUUUUGGAGAAUAUAGUUAAUCCACUUGCGUUGCACGUGCAUUAGCUGAAUCAAAAGGCAUUAUGGCCGUUACAAGAAGCGGGAAAGAUGUGUCUGGUAAGUGAGGGAUCUUUCCAUGUCAAUUGCGAGCUGUAUACAAAGCCUUUGAGGCUGGAGUUGGGUUUCUUCUGUAGCUUGUAAAAAUUUCUUCACCGCUGUAAUUUGUUCUUGAUUGAGAGGACGUUGGUUGGUGAUUGCACGUGCCUCGCAGGCGAGUCACUUAUCGCACACAGCUGACAUAUGAUCGUUGUCGUACGCAUCAUGUAUAAGACAACCGACAUGGCAUCCAGAAACGACGGUACAACUAGAGUUGGCAAAACGGGUCAUCGGGUCGUGUUCGUAUCGUGUCAGCUUCGUGUCGUGUCAAAUUUAGGUCCACCUAAACCCGACCCAUUUAAUAAUCGUGUCAAAAUAUUGAUACCCAAACCCGACACGGAAAAAUAAUCGAGUUACCCAAUAACCCACUUAAUAUCUAUAAAUUAAACAAAAAUUACAUUAAAUAUUUACAUAUUGUCAUACAUACGUAUGUACAUACAUACAUACAUCCAUACAUACAUACAUAAUUUAUCGAUAUUAUAAAAUAUACAUAUCUACUAAAAUAUUACAUACACUAUUGAGGUUUUAAUUAUAUAUAUGUAAAUAAUAUUAUAUAUCAAUAUUAUAAAAUAUAUAUGUCUACCAAUAUUUUAUACAUUUACAUUAUUAAAGCUCUAAAUAUAUUUAAAAUUUUAUAAAUAAAAUAUUGUGUCUAUAUUCAUCCUUUUAAAGAAUAAAAAUAAAAAAGAAAAUUAUUUCUAAUAUUUGAGUUUUGAUGAUAAGAAUAUGUAAAUUAUUUUAAAAUAGAAAAUAUAAUCAGGUCAUUGAUCAGAUAAAUGGGUCAAGAAUUUUAAUCAUAACCUGAUACGAAAAACAAUCGUGUUGACCAAGAUCCAAUUCAUUUAAUAAUCAUAUUAAAUUUGACAAUUCAUACUUAUUUAUCGGUGUCAUACUCGUGUCGAGUAAUCGGAUCUGAUCAAAUUUUAUCAGCUCUAGGUUCAGCGACUUUUAUUUUCAUAAACAGACUUUUUGUCUUCUGCCCUUUUUUAUUUUUGCCCUUUUCUAACUUUUUUUUUUGUCCUUUUUUAACUAACAAUUAGUAAUACUACCAAUUACAUGUGACAACUGUAAGGAGUUCAUUGUCAACAAAAUAAUUAAGUCCAGAGAUUUGUUGUACCAUACUUGACAAAAUUCAACAGUCUAAUAAAUGCUGAAAAGUGGAAACGGAACAAUUGCAGAGCGCCGGUGGAGCUCACCCGGCUAGAAGAUUAACAAAUUUCCUCCAUUAUUGUAGCCUAAAGACUUUUGAAGGCUAGAGACUUGUUCCGAAAUUUCAGCAUCCAUUUAGAUCGAGUAAAAACCAUCUUUCUCGGACGAUUACGAAGCAAUGGCUGUUGAAGAGCUCUUACUGUCUGCUUUCUUUCAAGUGUUGUUUGACAGAUUGGCUUCUGGUGAUUUUCUCACCUUUGUGGGUCAACUUCGAGGCGGGCUGGAUUCCGAGCUCAAAAAGUGGGAAAAAACUUUGAUAAUGAUACAGGCUGUGCUCAGUGAUGCAGAGGAGAAGCAACUGACGGACAGGGCUGUGAAGAUCUGGCUCGAUGAUCUCCGAGACUUGGCUUAUGACGCAGAGGACAUUCUUGAUGAGUUUGCUACUGAAGCUUUGAAUCAGAAGACGAUGGCAGAAAAUUCGAACCACAGUCCUGCUUGUUUCAACUGUUUUAGUCCAAGUUCUGUCAAGUUUAAAAUCGACAUGGAUUCCAAGAUUAAAAGUAUCACUAGCAGGUUGGAUGAACUAUGUGCUAAAAGAAUUGUACUUGGAUUGCAAUUGAUUCCUGGAGGGAUAUCAAAUGCCUGGAAGCGAAGACCGCCGAGUUCAAGUGUGCCAACGGAACGGGCUGUCUACGGCAGAGAUGAGGAUAAGGCCAGAAUACUUGAAAUGGUGUUAAGUGAUGAUCCAACCGCUGACGCCAACUUUCGUGUAAUACCAAUUGUCGGCAUGGCAGGGGCUGGAAAAACAACGCUUGCUCGGGAGGUCUACAAUGACAGGGCUGUGCAAAAUUUCAAGUUUGAUGUGAAAGCAUGGGUUUGUGUUUCUGAUGAUUUUGAUGUUGUUAGCAUUUCGAGGGCUCUUCUCGAGUCAAUCACCUCCACAACUUGUGAUGUCAAGACGUUGAAUGAGGUGCAGGUUAAAUUAAAAAUUGCUGUGGAUGGAAAAAGGUUCUUGCUAGUAUUGGAUGACGUUUGGAAUGAGAACUACAACUUGUGGGAAAUCCUGAAAGCUCCCUUCAUGGCUGGUGCACCAAAUAGCAAAAUAAUUGUCACGACACGUCAUUCAAAUGUUGCAUCGACGAUGGGAUCGGUUGAACAUUAUAAUCUUAAGCUUCUGUCAGAUGAAGAUUGCUGGUCUGUUUUUGUGAAGCAUGCGUUUGAGAGUAGAGAUGCCGGUGCUCAUCAAUUUUCAGAAUUAUUUCGUAAGAAAAUUGUGGCAAAGUGCGGAGGCUUACCGUUGGCAGCAAGCACUCUUGGCGGCCUUUUACGCACUAGGCAUACUGAUGAUGCGUGGGAGGAUAUAUUGAGCAGCAAAAUGUGGGAUUUGCCUCAACAAACUGACAUUCUCCCCGUGUUAAGGUUGAGUUACCAUUAUCUUCCUUCUCAUUUGAAGAGAUGUUUCAGUUAUUGUGCAAUUUUCCCCAAAGAUUAUGAGUUCGAGAAGAAUGAACUUGUUUUUCUGUGGAUGGCUGAGGGUAUGAUUCAACAAUCAAGGACAGACAAACAAUUGGAAGAUUUGGGCAACGAUUUUUUUUGGGAUCUAUUGUCUAGGUCACUUUUCCAACAAUCAAGCAGAGAUGGUUGUAAAUUUGUGAUGCACGAUCUAGUCCAUGAUUUAGCUCAAUUGGUUUCUGGAGAAACAAGUUUCUGGUUGGAGGAGGCAAGUAAGCAGUUAAGAACAUUCAAAAGGAUUCGUCAUUUUUCUUAUCCUUGUGCUUAUGAAGAAGUAAAAGCCAAAUUUGAGGGUUUGGAUAAAGCCGCAGGUCUGCGGACAUUUUUGCCUCUCAAAGUAAGAUCAUCUUAUUGUUUUAUAACCAACACGGUUCUUCUUGACUUGCUGCCAAAGCUCAAAAAGUUGAGGGUGCUAUCUUUAGAAGGAUACUACAUUGCUCAUUUACCUAAUUCUAUCAAAGAUUUGAAACUUCUAAGGUAUCUCAAUCUUUCUUGUACACUGAUCGAAAGUUUACCUGAGUCAAUAAAUUCACUGUUCAACUUGCAGUUUUUGGUGUUAAGAGGCUGUGAUCGUCUACAGAAGUUGCCUUCCAACUUGAGAAAUUUGAUUAAUUUGCAUCUUCUAGAUAUAAGGGGUGCACAUUUAUUAACAGCGAUGCCAUCGGGAAUGAAGAGAUUGAAAUAUCUGCAUACGUUGUCUGAUUUUAUUGUGGGUAAGGGUAUCGUAUCUGGCUUGAAAGAUUUGAAAAGUUUAACUUUCCUCUGUGGAAAACUUUGUAUUUGGAGAUUAGAAAAUGCGAAUAAUUCAUGGGAAGCAAGAGAAGCUUCAUUGUGCGAUAAGAAGUGUCUGGAGGCAUUGUCAUUAAAAUGGGGCUGUCCUUAUCAGUCACGAAACGUUAAUGAUCAGGGAGCAGAAGAAAAUGUACUUGACAUGUUGCAGCCACAUAAAAAUAUAAAGAAGCUAGAAAUCAUGCAGUAUGGUGGCAGAAGAUUUCCUACAUGGUUAGGGGACCCAUCAUUCUCUAACAUGGUUGCUUUAAAAUUGAUAGGAUGUAAAAAUUGCACAUCCUUACCUGCUGUGGGGCAGUUGGUUUCCCUGAAAGAGCUUACAAUUGAAAGAAUGCUUGUACUCAGAAGUAUAGGGUCUGAAUUUUGUGGAAAGAAUUGCUCAAAGCCUUUCCAAUCCUUAGAGACUCUUUGCUUUAGUGGUUUGCCAGAAUGGGAGUUCUGGGAUACUGGCAACCAGACUGGGUGUAUUGAAAUAUUUCCUUGCCUCGUUGAACUGUCCAUUUUGGGAUGCCCCAAACUAUCUGGAAAAUUACCGGACCAUCUUCCUGCAUUGGAGACCCUUGUUGUCAGAUA